UUGCAUUCAGAAAGUAUAAACUACUACAGUAGUACAGUCUGGACCGCACGUGGAUCCACACAUACAUAGAAAAAUUGCAUCUUAACAAUUCACACACAAUCUUUAAUAAUUCAGUACACCAUAAGAGAAAAUGCUCUAAUCAUACAUCAGACAUCAGAACCAUGAAACUACUUAUUCAAUCACACCACUAAUUUUCCCAUUAACUGUCUUUCAGUCUUCCUACUAAUGCCGAAUCGCUUAUCCCAAAAGCACAGGUUGUAAAAGUCAUAGGCUUCUCCCGAAGUAUCAAAACUCGUCCCCAAUGUCAGUACUAUGACAUUGUCCCCUGGAUUUUCCGAGAAACCUCGAAUUAUCUUCGGCAGCACCUGUCCUCACCCUGCAGUCAAUGUCACACGUGUAAAUAAUUGUAGUUCUCCAAAAAUAUUUAAAACUGUUACACACUAUGACAUUGUCCCCUGGAUUUUCCGAGAAACCUCGAAUUAUCUUCGGCGGCACCUGUCCUCACCCUGCAGUCAAUGUCACACGUGUAAAUAAUUGUAGUUCUCCAAAAUAUUUAAAACUGCUACACUCAAGUAGCACAUAAUGCGCCUAUUCGAGCAUGAUCAAGCUGUGUUGUUCGAUUCUAACAUCGGAACUGGCCGCCUUAUGGCAGCAUUGCACCAAACUUGUUUUCCCUCUGAGCUAUGUCUCUGUUUUGCUUCCUGUUCUAGCAUUUUUCACCUUUCCAAUCCUAAUGUGCCUAUUCGAGCAUGAUCAAGCUGUGCUGUUAGAUUCUAAUGUUUACUUAUGCUCCAGGGGUGUAUCCUCAUUUUUAUGAAUCUAGCAAUCAAAUUAAAAUCACACCCCGUUAAAACAAUCAUGGUUCAAUCCUAACACAGAACAGAGGACUGAAUAUACUUGAGCUGCAGCAUUCAGGAAUGCAUAGACUCUGAAUCUAUACUACAUGCGCUGACCAUUUAUUCAGCAGAUCACAUAUUCACAUACAUUACCAAAACCUAGCAGCCGUCCAUAGUCUUACUGCAAAGCCGUCAGUUCUGCAAAUUUCACACCCUCAAGACGUUUUCUACAUGUACAUCUGAAUCUCUUGGUCAUGUGUGCCAUCCGCCGCAACGCUAUAUUGCUAGUGUCACCAUACCUGCGUGUCCACGCCGGAGAUUUUGGGUCAAGCUGUUCAAUCGACUGCUCGGACACUUGCAGCUCCCUUCUCCUCCCGCCGCCAUUUGGGAAUAACUCCGGGAUGACUUCACACUUCACAUAAGAUACAAUCUUGCAUGAGAAGUAGAGUACCUUCUACUUAUAAUUUUUAGUUUCCUAUGAUCAAAUGUAGACAGUUAAAUGAAAGAAAUGAAUCUGUAGGUACUUAGUAGAUUUAUAACAACACGAGGUCAUGUAACAGGCAGAAUAUAGCAUCAUGAGAACAUAGGAUCGAGAUCAUAUCCCAGGCAUCAAAUUUUCCAUACACACAAUCGUACCCAACUAAUGGGCUUGGCUAAUAGUAGAACAUAAGAAAGCAUUAGUUAACUUAACAAUCACCUGGAAAGUCAGUAGGGCUAGAAACAUGAGAAACUAAAUAAGAUGGGUAUGACUAAAAACAAAAUAGCAUGGUGCAGGUUCUUGUAGUGAAAUAGAUUGAUGGUUACGUAAGCAAUUCUACAAAAACAAUUCAAGGAAAAUUUAGGAACCAUUUACUUUUUGCAAAGUGUGUAUAGACUAUUAACGGGAAAUACCUAGAUUAUGGUCAGAAACCUAAAAUGUAUAUUUAGCAUUAGUUCCAAUCUCAUACUACACGCAGACUUUUGCAUUACUCACUCUCCAACCAACAUCUCACUAUAUUUAAGAACCCACUCUCUUCUUUCAAACUGGACGUAGAGGAACAUUACUGCCUCCUAUCCACAUCUAGACCAUUCCUAAUCAAAAUCGUGAAUCAUCUCCUAACCAAAUCCCUAAAGAAUGAAUCUGCCAUUUUACUCUGCCUACACAAGCCACACACACACGCUCAGAGAGAGAGAGAGAGAGAGAGAGAGAGAGAGAGCGAGAUGAGAACCUUCAGGUAUAGCAGAAGCCAACAACAGAAUCAUCCAGGUCUCUGAGGCGGCAGCGACACCAACGCGGCCGGACGAUGUGGUGCGUGGCUGCAGGGGGGACCGAGUGCAGCCGCCUCAAAGAGCCCCUUCUCACCGUUGUCCUGUACGGGAGCAGCAUUUAAAAGCACAAUACAGAUCUGAAGUAGAAGAAUUUAUUCUUCUGAAUUCAUAUGGCAUGGCACUGCUCUGGACAAUGAUGGCACAUGUACGAUGACUAAUUUUCAGAAAUCUUUUCCAUUAUUAAUUGUUGGGAGAUGCAUCCAGUCAAGUACUUUAAGAGAAACACACAAAUGUAGUAGAAAGGAAAGAAGAAAACCUUAUGAGUCGAACGACGCAGCAACAGAAGAGAUCGUACAACCUGUGAAAUACACAAAAAACAAGCGGUCAGAGCACAAUGACACACAGGCAUGCAAUGAACACUCGCCGGUCACGGAAGCAACAUAAUGGCCUAUUUACCCGAGGCAGCAAGCAGAAGCACGUUGGGUUAGCAGCAGGACAGACGAGAAGAAGAAGCGCUGGCGACAGGAGAAGAAGGCUGGACCGUAGAAUAAGCAUCAGCACACACGCAUUUCAUCGAGCAGCACACAUGCAUUUCAUAAAACAUUAUAUAGGCAAGCACAAGAGGAGUGGACUAACCUCAAUGUGAAGGAGAGACAAGACCCAAGGCUCGACGCAGCCGACAACAGGAAACCGUACCAAACUGCGCAUGAACGAAACGAAGGCAAACAUGCGAAAUUAGCACAAUGAAUCCAAAGCAAAGGCGAAGAACAUGCGAACCAGAGAAGGACGAACCUCAACCAGUGCAACCAUCGAGCAGAGGAGGCCCAUCGGAACAGAGCAUGGGGCGGCCUCAUCUCGGCCACCAAGCGGCAAGGCGAGGCAUGUCGCCUGGUGCGGCUGCUGUUCCCCUCGUCCCAUCGCCCAAAACUCCUUCCCGAUACGACUCCUCUUUCUCCAUUCCCCUCGUCCUCCAAGCGACGGGCGGUGGCCGCCGGCUGCCGACAGCAACGACGGCCUGAGCAGCUCCCAUCCGCCCUUCCCCAGGUCACCCGCAUCCCCUACCCCAAUUCGCCGGCCUCUCCCUCCUUCCCAAGGUCGCCGGCUUCCCCUUCCUUCCCAAGGUCGUCGGCGUCCCCUUCCUUCCAUAGGUCGCCGCCGGCCUCGCCUCAGGUCUCUUAACUCGCCCAAGGUCGCCCGCAUCCCCUUCCCCAAGUAGCCGGCAGCAUCAGCACCUUUCUCCUUCCCCUCGAUCCGCACGAGCGGCUGCACCCCUCCCCCUCCCUUCCGUGCGUGUGCUCGUCCAAGGACGCCGUCGUCGACCUCGGCUGCUCCUCCACCACCUCGCCUCUUUCUCCUCCUCGCCUCCCAUCGCUCGCGCGUAGGUCGCCGCCGCCGGAGAACAGGACAGUGCGGGGCUCUUCCUCCUUUUCCUCCCGCCGGAUCUAAGGCGUGCGGCCGCGGAGGCGAGCCUCUCCGGUGACGGCGGCAAAGGGCGACCACAUGGAUCGAGGAGGAGGCGGCGGCUAUAGUAGAUCGAUGGAGAUUGAAUACAGAAAGGGAAGCUCGCGAGAUACUUUGCCACUCCAUCUCCUCUCUCCAACCCGCAGACGGAGGUGAGGCACGCACGACGCGCACACGAUGCAUCGGUCAGCCAGGGGCCCACCCGCACAUGCGCCAGCCAACCCGGCGCAGUCCUCGCAACUAACCACCGCGACGCACGACCGUGCAGCCGACAAGCGGACCAGCAGCAGGACCGGCCCACCUGUCAUCGCAAUAGAAAAGACGCGGGUGAAUAAGCCGGGUACACAUGCACCAGCCGAGCCCUACGCAGCUGCUCUUCGUAACGCACGACGCGGGUAGUGUGGGAGGAGCGGCCCCCCAGGCACACCGUGGGACGGGCAGCCAGUUCAACCGACGAGCGGGACCUGAAGGAACACCGGCCCACUUGUCAUCGAGCCAGCACAGGCGCCGUCGAAUAAACAAGGUAUAUAUGCGUCGACCAACGACGCGCGCACGCGGCAGGGCAGGAGAGGCUGCGCACGCACCCAAAAACUGGCUACCCAGCCAAUCAAAUUCUGCCCGAGCCCACAAGUCAUUGCCCACUCAAAACUGACCGCAUGGUGAAAACGUCAACCCUUAUUUCCACAGACGAUCCAAUGGCCAGCAACAAAAAAAGACAACGUUGACCAACAUCGGACGGCCAACGAGGGGCAAAAUCGAAGGGGCUCUGGAGGCCGAGUGCUCCCGCAACCUUAUAGGUUUUAAUUUUCUAAAGGAAAGUGUUGGUGGCCGGGGCGCCGGCGGAACGCUCGGGCCGGUCGCGCUCCGUGCGUUGGAUCUCUUUUGAUCCAAGGACGCUGUUUGCGUCACGUGUUACCAGACCCGUUAUUUUUUUUAAACACGCACGGGUUAUCCCUUUCCGNNNNNNNNNNNNNNNNNNNNNNNNNNNNNNNNNNNNNNNNNNNNNNNNNNNNNNNNNNNNNNNNNNNNNNNNNNNNNNNNNNNNNNNNNNNNNNNNNNNNNNNNNNNNNNNNNNNNNNNNNNNNNNNNNNNNNNNNNNNNNNNNNNNNNNNNNNNNNNNNNNNNNNNNNNNNNNNNNNNNNNNNNNNNNNNNNNNNNNNNNNNNNNNNNNNNNNNNNNNNNNNNNNNNNNNNNNNNNNNNNNNNNNNNNNNNNNNNNNNNNNNNNGGAUCUCGAUUCUCCGGCGAUCUAAGGCGCCCCCGGAUGGUAACUCUCCCCUCGUCCUCUCCCUAUCUUUGUGUUGUCUCCCCCUCCCCCAUUGGCUUUAGGGUUAGGGCGGGUUAUGGUGCGGGGCGAGGUUCCCGCGGGCCGCCGCCGGCGCCGGCGCGGACGGGGAUGGGGUGGUGUUCCCGCGGGUCGAGGGAGCGGGUGGGGUGGUGUUCCCGCAGGGUUGUGGGAGGGGGCAGGGGUGGUGGUUAUGGUGGCUAGGGAUUUGGGAUGGGAUUAGGAUCCCAUUAGGAUUUGUUUGUUCCACAUAUAUGUAACAUUUUUAGAUGCAAAAUGUUGUGGCCUGUGAUAAGUUCAAAAUGUUGUCGUUAGUAGCUUUUUUCAGUGGUGUUAGUAGCUUAAAUUAAGCACUGUCCAACUGAUAAUGUAUAUUUUUUAUGUGUGCUUAUACAUUUUUCCUUUUUGUAGAUGUUGCAGGCACCUCUGGUGAGAAUGAGGGGAGUAAGAAGGCUAAGAAGAAGAAUAAGAAGAAGUACAAUCUAUGUGGCUUUAAGUCAAGGUUUAACUCAAAAAGGCUGGCUGAGAUUGGGAAGCAAGUAUCACCGGAAAAACAGAGAAUCAUAAGGGAGGGGCCGUUUGGAGACUUGUUGGACAUCCGGUCUUUCAAGGUGCCCCAUGAGCUCAUUGAGUUUGUUGCGAUGAACACGAAUCACAUACUCUCUGAGUUCAAACACAAGAACAAAUCUAUCACCUUCAGCAAGCUUAUGGUGAAAAGGAUUUUCAACGUGCCAUCCGGUGAUAGACCCGUGAAGCUUCUAAAGAAGAGUGAUGAACAUGAUCUUCGCAGCAUCUACAAGGAGGGGAACAGGGCUCCAAUCGCCCAUGUUGUCAAGUUGCUCAUUAGUUGCAGUGAGGAGGACGUGGUUAUGAUAAAUAGGACUUGGGCACUCCUUGCAUUGGCAACAGUUUUGUGCCCGGGCACGGGCAAUAUGGUGAAUCUCGAGUAUCUUGCUUCCCUGGAAGAUAUGUCUUUGGUGCAUGAAUUCGCUUGGGAUGAGCACUUGUUGGCACGAGCGAUGGAGGAGGUUGGAGUCUUUCAAGAGAAGAAGAGGAUGCAAGCAAAUACAGAAAAAGCAGCAGAGUUUCAGAUCGCUUCAUGCCUUCCCAUGUUAGCGGUAUGCAACACAACAUUAUGAAAUACCUUCAUCUUUUUUCUUUGCUGCAUGAAACCUUCUGUACAUUUUCUAUAGCUCGCAUUUAUGUUUUUGUUGGCUAAUGUCCUUUUUACAUUCCAUGCAGAUCAUAUACAUGGAUCAUAUUGAUAUCCCGCCCGGCCUCCCAAAUGAGCAUGCCAUUGAUUAUUCCGUGCCGAGGAUACGCUUUGUUUGCCAAAAGGAUUUUGAUUGGUUGGAUAAAGUUGACAAGAACAAGCUCACUCUUGUCCAACCUUUCUACGGGAAACACACCCAAGUAAUUUUGCUACACCCCCAUGUUUUUUGCUCAUUGAAUUUGCAUGUAGCAAUCUUUGCUUUUCCAUUUAGGUUAUGGCGGCCUUCUUAUUUGUCUCCCCUCAUGUUUUGUUUUCCUAGAUCCGGAGUUUGUGCAACACCCCCUAUGCAGUACAACUCAUGGGACAGGAAGUUGGUGCUGAAGCAGCCAGUGGGCAGGGAGUUGAUGCUGAAGCACCUAGUGGCCAAGGAACUAGUGGCCAAGGAAGCCAAAUUCAAGGUGCUGACAUUCAAGCAAAGGACUCUCAAUCAAACGAGGCUCAACAAAAUGUUGAUACUGAACCACACCUAUCAUCAUCGCUCAAGCUGCAGCAAUCAUUCCCUAGCAUGCAAGAUCUAAGGGUACUCUUUCACAAUCUACACUAUCUUUUUCUUUGUAUUCAUUUCCUGUUUACCUUUGGCUUUGCAUUAUUUACUAUACCCAGUUGCAAGUGUAUAUUUUGUUUGCUGCAUCCCUCAUUCUGAUGUGCUACAACCAUGUUCUGUUUUUGCUUCAUAUGUGGUUUAAGUUCAUACCUACUAGGCUUUUUCGUUGCAUCCAUAUGUCUAGUGUGCUACAACUACAUUCUGUUUUUGCUUCAAACAUAUCAUAAUUUUGCUACAUCCAUAUCAAUAAUUUGCUACCUAGAGGUAUAGACCAUUUGUUUUUUAUGCUUCAUCCAUGACAGUAAAUUGCUACAAUCACACUAUUUAUUUGAUACAUAGUGACACAGCACCACACCUACUUGUUUCUUGCUUCAUCCAUACCUCUAAGGUGCUACACCCACAUUUGUGUUUUUUUUACAUCCAUACUUCUCAAAAUCUGGAUAUACUUGUCACUAAAAAUGUUGGACACUUGCCUUCUUGUAGGUACCAACUCAGUUUCAAAUGCUCUACGACAAGCACAAGGGUAUUUUUGCAGCAGAGGUGGAUGGUGUAGUAGGCAAGUUUGGACAGUGUUUAAAGGGAUUGCAGUGCAACCGGAUGGCCGCUCUCCUUCGUGAUGUUGGAGACGCCAUCACAGCUACCAAUGAGCCCAACUUUUCCUUUGAAGCACCUAUCAUGGACGAAUGUCGCGGAAAAGAGAAUGAUGCUAAAGCUGCAAAUGUCGACAUUGGUGCUCAAGCUCAAGCUCAAGGUACAACACCUAGCAUCAACAAGGAUGAAGUCACCGGAUUGAACCUAGAAGUUGCAACAGAGCCUGCGGAAACUCGUGAGCAACAAAGAGUGAGUUUCGAGAUGGAAGGCAACGCCUCACCUCACAGCCCCCCACUCUUCUAUGAUGCACCCAGGAGUGCGACAGCCGGCAUUUGGGACGACGAGCCAUCUUGUGAGUUGUUCCCAAAGGGCUCCGAAGACUAUGAGAUGAUGCAUUCCACGGAUGAGCCUACAAUUAAGAAGAGCACAGUCAACCCCAUCUAUGCAAACAUCCCCGUGUUUCCUGUUUCAGACGAUGAUGACAGCCCAAGUAUGCUUCCUUCCUCUUGCAUCAUUUCUUUUUGUUUUUCUCCAUAUCAUUUUCUUCACAUUUGUGUGAUUCCAGCAAAUUCUUUUUGUACAAUCUCUUGCAAACUCAUCCAUUUUUAUUUAUUUUUGCUACAGCUCCUAAGAUGGUUGCUAUAGAAGAGCAUUUUGCCGAUGCAAGCAGUGGCCCUAGCACACAUGACAAGAACACUAGGAAGAAGAGGAUGGCCAAAGUUCCAGCCAUAAAAAAUACCAGGGCAAAGAAGCAAAAGGUCGACAAGGCUGCAGAAAUGUAUGAGAAGUUUGUAAAGCAUGGAAAACCAUUGAGGAAAUCACAACCCAAUGAACAAGUGUGAGCUACCUAAGCCCUAUCUGUUUUUGCUUUCUAUUUUUUUCUGCUCGAAACAAAUGAUUCAUUCGGUUGCAUCUAUGGUAAUAGGACGCCUUUCAUCAAGCUAGGUGGAUUUUUCAUUGGAUACAAGAAAUUCCUUGUAUGCUUCAAGCCUCGCGGGGAUAUGAAUGAUGAGGUUAUGUCCCUAUGUAUCGAGAUGAACAACCUCGCAUCCCGUGCAGCAAAAGAAAGGGAUGUGAAGAAAUACAUGUUCUCAGUCCACGCGGGGGUAAGCUUUUGUAAAAACAAGCAAUGCUUCAUUCCUUUCUUACUUUCACAUUUUCGUUGCAACACACACUAACCAUUUUGUUGUAUCUUUCAAGUAGAUCCUACUAAAACAAGACCCAUCAACCUUCCAACCAGCAAAACUCAUGGCUGAGCUUGAAAGGGCUAUGAAAUUGUUCAAGGUUCAAAAGUUUGACCUCAGUUUCACGAAGCUUUCUUUUGUUCCACACCACAAAAUACUAACAAAUAUGAUCCAAUGAUGCGACGCGGCUGUAACAUUUUUUACAUGUUCUGAGUACCUUUUUGCCUUUCUUUUGUUUUUUCUAGCUUUUUUUACAAUUGUGCAUGAUCGCCAUUGGAUAGUUGUCUGCGCAAACUUGCUUCACAAGCAGUGGAAUGUAUUUGACUCAAUCCAUUCAAAAGGAAAACAAUCUCCUUUGAAGAAGCAAGCCAAUAACCUGGUAGGCUCAUGCUCUCUAUUUUUUUUCUGUUUACCCUUCUGAUUCAUCUACAUAAAUGCCCUGUUGUCAUCUUUACACACCUCAUUUUAUUUUAUUUUGAAACUUUUGUAUGUGUUUUCGGUGCUAGAUCACAAACUUUACAACCCUCGCACAAGAGUGCAGCGAAUUCAAUGUCAAUGUUGGAUCCUUCGCCCGUGUUGACCUAGAGGAUUACCCAAAGCAAGAUACCCUGUGAGUUUUCUUUUUGAAUUUUGCUUCAAUCAUGUUUUUGCAUAUCAUCAUCAAACUAGAUCACAAACUUUUUGAACUUUUUUUUAUGUCACAGAUGUGAUUGUGGCUUUUUUGGGCUCAAAUAUGUGGAGAACUAUGAUGGGAAGUCAAUGAGAGAGUUCAAGCAGGUACACAUUUUUAAUUUUUUGUCUUGUCAUUUUGUUACAAUCUACUUUCUUUGUUUUCAAUACUCAUGCAACAGAAGAAUACCAUGUGUUGUUUUUGCUUCAUAUGUGGUUUAAGUUCGUACCUACUAGGCUUUUUUGCUACAUCCAUAUGUCUAGUGUGCUACAACUACAUUCUGCUUUUGCUUCAUUCAUAUAAUAAUUUUGCUACAUCCAUAUCAAUUUUUUGCGGUGGAUGGAUGUGAACUCUUUGCAUUCACCACUCAUGCAACACAAGAAUAACUAGUAUCAUACUUGUUUUACCUUUUGUUUUCAAUACUCAUGCAACACAAGAAUAACUAGUAUCAUACUUGCUUACUUUUUGUAUUCAUUUUUUACAGGAAGACAUGGCGCGAUACCGCAUCGAUGUGGCAUACAACCUUUUUCAGUCACCCAAUGAACAAUGCCCCAAAGGAGCGGGCGUUCAAGGAUGAGUUGGCGGCUUGAUUUUCUAGAAGGUUCAAGACCAACAAGCUUGUUUCUUCGUUAGGUCUAGAUCAUGUCCGAGGUGGUAGCGUUCUCAUAGGAUUAGAGUAGUGCGCGUUCGUAUGUAAACUGUUGAUACCUCCAGUGAACAUAUGUGCCCUUUUGGUAUGUAAGCCGAUGAUAACUUGAUAUUUUGGAUGAUGCACUUAUGUUUUUAAUGGAUGCGUUCUUCUGUUUGCCAACUUGAUCAUGCAUUGACAAUUGUUUUUUGUUUCGCUGGUUCUAAAAUAUGAUAAUAUUUCAAACUUCAUCCAUCGAAGUUUCAAGGGAAUCUGUGUGCAUUUUUUUCCCUCAAAACAUAUUUUCUGAAAAAUAAUAUGUGAAUGCUACUUUUGUCACACACUUAAAUUGCUGGAAGCUCACAGGAAAUAGCUACAACCUUCUGUUAGAUUUGUUGCAGAGCCAAAAUAUACAUUUUUACCUGCAAAUUAGCUACAUCCCUACAAUAUUUUUGCUGGAAGCAUAAUGUAAAUAAGCUUCCUUUCCCAACUUUUGCUGUACAGCUAAAUCAACACUUUAAAUCAUUCAAGGAUUUUUCCUUUUCAAACUUGUUAUUUUGCUACAACCAUGUUUUAAAAAGCUUCAACCAUGUUUCCUUAAAGCUGCAACCAUAUUUUGAAAAAGUUUCAACCAUAUUUUGAAAAAGUUUCAACCAUGUUUUCCAAAAGCUUCAAUCAUGUUUUUCAAAAGCUUCAAACAUGUUUCCUAAAAGCUGCAACCUUGUUUACAGAAGCUUCAACCAUGUUUUCAAAAAGCUUACCCCAUGCUUUUCAAAAGCUUAAAACAUGUUCAUUAUAAACAUGAAUCAAGCUGUGGUUACAACAACCAUUGAGUACUAUUCAAAAAAAAUGUAAGGAAAAACCCACAUUCUGCUUUUUUUACAACAACCAUUGAGCUAGUCAACACAACUUUUUAUCAUAAGUCAUGGGGUGUUACAAGGAAAUUCAUCAUUUUUUCCCUCAUGAAAAUAUCCUAAAGUGUAAGGAUUGUUUCGACGCCCGAAGCUUUCGCGCUCGCACUCGCAGCAAGAAAAGCUGCAAGGAGUUGGCAAUCCUUCACGUUGUGAUCUUCAUCUUCACAAUAUUUGCAUGGAGUCUUCUUUUCCCUUGGCUUUGGAGCUUUCUUCGUUUUCGCUGCGUCCUUCUUUGCUUUCUUCUUCAUUUCAUCUUCUCGAAUCUCAAUUAGUGGCUUCCUGCGCUUCUCUUUCUAUUUUGGCCUCCCUUUCUUUGCUGACUUUGGUGGGUUCCGCAGUCCUACGGGGGGUGGAUCCCGCUGACCUGUACUUGGACCCCCUGAGACUUGUGCAUUUUCUGCAUGACGUUGGGCUUCUUCGUCUCCUGCAACCCCAUCAGUUGCUCUAGCUUUUAUUGCAGCAACCCCAACACUACCCUGAUCAAUUAGCCCAGAGACAAAACUAUAAGCUUCAUCAUUGAAGCAUGCAUCAGAAGCGAGUUUCCCAAACUUCCGGCAUAGAGAGUUAAACUUUAGGGUGUUUGUCGUGGGGACGCCGAAAUGCAUAGCUCUAUGCCCAUCGCCCAGUUCAGGCGCAAGGUCGGUUGCUCUCUUAGACCAUCUUGGAAGCAUGUAAGUCGCAGGUAUCGUUUGCACGUUCAGGUGCACCAUGACACGGAUGAUAUGUGGGCAGAUCAGCCCACACAUCUCAAACAUGUUGCAGGUGCACAUGUAUGUCUGAUCUUUAGGGGCAACACGCACCGUGUACACUUUAGGGUUGACGCCAUAAUUUGCAACAAUGCGAAACCAGACGACACCGUGUAACCCUUGCAGCUGAUAUUGCAGACCAUAGCCUGUUGAUUUAGCCAACAUUUUUUGAAACUUGGAAAAUACCUCUCUGGUAUGGAAAUCUGCAGCUUGCUUUUCAAUGUUGUAACUGCAAACAAAAAAGCUUCCAACAUCAAUAAGAAUUGCUACAUAUGUUUCAAAGAAAUGCUGCAACCCCACUGUACUGGAAAACUAAAAAAAUGCUACAUGACUUUGGACUUACUUUCCCCAGAGUGGCGGCCUCGUCGCUUCAUUGAUGAAGCCAGCAUUGUCUUCACGAUCAAGCAUUAGCUCCUGGCAAAGCUCAAACUGCUGGACAAAUGUCCAAACCGAGUCUCCAUGAUGAUUUAAAGUCUUGAAGUAGGAAUUCAGGCCCUCGGACCGCCCGGUUGUUCCUGUGAAUGGGAAUAACUUAUUCCUAAAGUACACAGGAGCCCACAUCUCCCUGCUGUCCCACAUGUUCUUGAGGUGUUUCUUAUCAGCCACACCAAAUGACUCAACCAUCUGCUUCCACCGUUCUUCAAACUCCUCAACGGUAUCUGAAUCAUUGAUGCAACCAUAGAAUGCUUCAGCAAAAGGCUCAUCCUUGCCCAGCAUCUUCCCUAGUUUCGUCCUUGCAACCCGGAAGACGUGCCACUUGCAACAUCUGUGUGUUGAAUCUGGAAAUACCAUUGAGAUGGCUUUAGCCAUUGCCUGGUCUUGAUCAGUCAUAAUAUUCAACGGAUGCUCAUUAUUCAUUGCCAACAUCCAUUGCUCGAAGACCCACUUGAAAGUUUCGAUGGUCUCAUCAGGCAACAAAGCGCACCCCAAGCAAACAGUAUGUGUGUGGUUGUUAAUGCCAACAAUCGGAGCAAAGGGCAAGUUGUAGCGAUUUGUGCAGAAUGUGGUGUCGAAAAACACACAAUCUUUGUACUUUGGAUACAAGGCCCUUGUUCUCCCAUCAACCCAGAAAAGCGCCCUAACAGCUCCAUCUUCUUCUAGCUUCGAGAAAAAGAAGUUGGGAUUCUCCACUUGUCUUCUCUCAAAGUACUCGAUUGUCAGCUCCAAAUCACGCUCUGACAGGCCCCUUCGCAGCUUUGCUCUUGCAUUUGUCACAUCAGUCUUCACGUACGGCAAACUCCUUGGAUCGCAACACCGUGCACCUCCAAGCAAGCCCAUCAUAUUAGCCGUUGAUAUGUUGCGAUAGUGCAGUGAAGUGAUGUACUGCAUGUCUGCAUCCGGGAUCUUUCUGUGAGAGCGGCAAAAUCUCCGACGCCCCCUUUGCAAAAUCAGCUGGUGUGUGUGAUCGGCCUCAAAAACUGUCACAACCCAGCUACCGUUUUUGAGGUUAACACCCAUACGAGCCUUGAAAUCAUACCGCUCCAACCGGUUUCUUAUCCUCUUGUCACUCACAUCCAUAUAGAUGCCAGCUUGUUUGCUUGCAGAUUUUUUGUUACUGGAAUAGCUCAUAUCAACAUCUUCACACUGAUUUGUUGCAGCCCCGUCAAAAAUGCUACCACCAACAUUCUUCGAAGGAUUUUUCCGUGAGUGUACGCACUCAAAAACUCUAUAGUUAGAAUGCGCUUAUGCUCCGAGCUAUUUUUCCUACUAUGCUUUGAUGUCACAAUGCGAGUUCCGAAGCCCAUCUUCGAGGCAUAUUCAUUGUAAACACGCUGAGCUUCUUCAACAUUGUCAAAAACCAUUCCAAGAAAAGGGACAACUGGCUGUGAUGAUAUUUCUUCAUCUGGUUCGUCAACAAGUGUUGCAGCAUUUCCAUUGGCAUUGUCACUAGCCACACAGGCAUUGCCAUGAUUUGGAGCUACACCAUCCGUGUUCAGAUGCAACGAAUCGUCACUAUCAUUUCCCGGAGUACCAUUCAGAUCAAUUCCAUCAUCUUCUUCUUCGUGCGCAACAUUUUGCAUAUCAUCAUCAAGGAAAAUUGAUGGCUCCACAGCAACAUUCUGCAACAAAAUCAGCACCCAAGUCAUUUUUUGCUGCCUGAAAAAACACACAAAAAGCGUGAACAAAAAAAGUGGACGCAACAUGUCAAUCACAAUUCCAAAACAAUUCCUGCAUGCAGCAUUUUAGGAUGUAGCAUGCAACAUCCAGCAAGACGCAUGUAGCAAGUGCAACACAUACUUGUAACAUUUUACUAGCAGACAGCAGGAAGAUGCUUGCAUUAAUUGACAACAUCUCAGAAACAUUACACAAAAAUCAAACACAAGUAUGUUGAGAACAUCUCUUUUUAAUCUCACGCUCAUCAAUUGAAAUCAAAGGUUGCAACAUUUUUUUGUGAACAAAAGGAUCUACGAUUUGCAAUUGGAAUUCAUACCAGAUCAAUUUCAUCCCGGCCAUGCCGUGCUGCAUCUUGGAAGACCACAUCAGGGUUGUAGUACCGUUGCAGCACCGGUCCACUACCACCAGGGCCAUGCCGCCUCAGGGGACUUCAGCCAUGAACGGUAGCGGAGCUCGAGCCCAAAUCCAUGGAGGCAAGGAGGCCAUUACGGAUGUAAGACAUGAUUGAAGCAAUUCCAAGGCCGCUUGAUAGAUGGGGGAGCCCCUCCUCGACGUGAUUCGGCCGUGGGGAACUUAAAACUGGCGGAUCCGGCUGCCGCCGCCGCGGAUCAGGGACGGGCAGACGCGGGGGAUCCAGCUCCCCUGUUUUUCUCGUUGUGGCUGUUUCGUACAACGGUUGCAACAAAACUGUUCUUUUUUUGCUGCAACGGUUGGUUCGGUACACACUCGCGCGCAGAUCUAACGGUUCAUGCUAACCGCAUCGGACGGCUGGGCCUCGACCGGCCCAACAGUUGGGCCGGUGCGCCGGCGCAGAUCACUGCCCUUUUCUAAAAGAGAGAUGGGUAAGAAACAUGUACUCCCUCCGUCUAGAUGUGUAAGUCACCUUACGAAAAUCAAAUAAUCCUAAAAUACUUAGGCAUGGUACAUUAACUCCCUCCUUGUUUUUUGUUUCGUGACAUAUCAACCAAUAAGAGAUGUGGACCGUGCAUGCUUUCAAUGACUUGAGACUACCAAACAUGACAUGUAGUGGUUAGUUCAUUGCAUGCAAUGCUAUUAAUUAGCAAAAAAGCAUUAAGUUCUUUCGUUUUCCCCUCCGCCUUGGUCACAGUGCACAACCUAAGAUGACUUAUACACCUAGACGGAGGGAGUAGAAAAUAUGAUCAGAAUGCUAUAAAAUUUCAUGAUGCAAGGAUACGCACACGCUUCUUAGAAUGGAGUUGACAUUCUUUUGCUGGACUGGAGCGGACUAGUUCUUUGGCCACUGGAAUCUGCUUAUUAUCAGUAGGAGUUGGGUUUCUCUGUGCUGGAGCAGUAUCUAUGAAAAAUGGAGUUGGUUUAUUAUCUCCUGGCGUUUGGAUCUUUUGCAAAGACCUGGUUUGUAACCCUUCAGAUUCUAACAUAGUUGUCUUCCCCUUGCAUGCCUUAUAUAGAAGAAUGGUGCUUCAAUUAUAAAACAUGCUACAGUAGAGAUGGAAUAGGUACUGAAAAAUAGAAAAGCAUGACAUAUUGACAUGUAUUCCCUCCAUCCGAAAAUAAAUGGAUGGGUCUAGGCGUAUUUCAGUUCUAGAUACAUCCAUUUUUAUCCAUUUCUGCGACAUGUAAUCCGGACGGAGGGAGUAUGAUGUAAGAGCUAGGGAUACGACAGGACAACACAGUAAAAAAACACUGAAAACCCACUGCAGAGCCAAAGUAAUCAAACCCACUGAUAUGAGAUAGUACACUCAUGCAGCUCAAGAUACAAAACUACCAGGCAGAUUUCUUUACAAAAAUCAACAUUGUGGCCUUUAAUCAUACAUUUUGCUACAACUAAUUUUAGAUCAGACAAAGGUUGGAUUCACGCCGAUUAACAAAAUACAUGUUGAUGUAAAAAUAUGAUAUACAACAGGUACUUACAUCUGCAUUGGAGUACAGAGAAUUCCUGCAAGAAUCUUUCCUCACAGACGAUACCAGUGCAGAAAUUCUUCUAUCUGUUAAGCUUAUUUUCUAAAAGAGAGAUGGGUAAGAAACAUGUAGAAAAUAUGAUCAGCAUGCUAUAAAAUUUCAUGAUGCAAGGAUACGCACACGCUUCUUAGAAUGGAGUUGACAUAUUUUUGCUGGACUGGAGCGGACUAGUUCUUUGGCCACUGGAAUCUGCUUAUUAUCAGUAGGAGUUGGGUUUCUCUGUGCUGGAGCAGUAUCUAUAAAAACUGGAGUUGGUUUAUUAUCUCCUGGCGUUUGGAUCUUUUGCAAAGACCUGGUUUGUAACCCUUCGGAUUCUAACAUAGUCGUCUUCCCCUUGCAUGCCUUGUAUAGAAGAAUGGUGCUUCAAUUAUAAACAUGCUACAGUAGAGAGAUGGAAUAGGUACUGAAGAAUAGAAAGGCAUGACAUAUUGACAUGUAUUCCCUCCAUCCGGAAAAAAAUGGAUGGGUCUAGGCGUAUUUCAGUUCUAGAUACAUCCAUUUUUAUCCAUUUCGGCAACAUGUAAUCUGGACGGAGGGAGUAUUGUGUAAGAGUUAGGGGUACGACAGGACAACACAGUAAAAAAACACUAGUUGAAUGUAAAACUGUAUGCUAGCGGAAUACGUACAGAAAAAACUAAGGCAACAUACACGUGUAUGAUUGGGAAACUAAGAUGGCAUUGCAACAGAGCACUAGAACAACACUUAAAUGUAAAAAAACAUGGUAUGGUAGACAGAUGAAGUACAUACUGAUGAAUAACAAUGCAUAAGAUAUUCAGAAGCAUGAUGUCCAAAUUAAGCAGAUGGCAUUGCGAUAGAGCAAGGACCUUGUGGGGUGAAGAGGAUUCAACAUCUUUCUGCAAGUCUUCUGAAGAACUUCCUUUACAUGUUCCAUCAUAUUGGGUAUCAUUGACAUCAAGUUUAUUGGCCUUUACAUUGCUCCGUGAGGUUCUUGUGGAUAUAUCAGUGUGUGCAAUUAUAUCUGACAUGCAUGGAAGACAACUAGUAGUUAGAUUUAUGUAAUGAGUGCCUGUAGGAGACGAUAUAAAUAGUAGGACUGGGGUUAACUAACAGCAACAUGUCUCAAAAACUAAAGGGAGAACACAGAUGAAAGCUACAGAAUAUGUAUCGUUUGUACUCGAGAUUAAUUAGAUAGCACACAAAAGUAUUAAAGAACAACAUAGGUAAUACUAAAAGUGGUAUAAUACUAUAAUCACCAGCCUGUGGGAUAGCAUUGGCUGAUGGAUGAUAACUAUGGAACAGCGUUACCUAAAGAACAAGUAUCUUAGCUGAACUAUGGAACAGCGUUAACUCCUGAACAAGACCCAUAAGAGAUCAGCAUGAAUAUACAGUGAAAUGUGAUAAUCUAUUUUCCAUGCUUAGAUGAAUAACAAAGCCAUAAAUGUUGCACACAAGUAAGAUGAGGGUACAACCUAUCUGGCCGCCAUACAUAGGAGUGAGCAUCAUGUGCUGACUUGUCGAUGACCCUGCAGUUGUUGUGGCUGUCCAUGUCGGGCACGCGCAUUCGAUGCGGGGAACUGUUGAGUGGGGACUAUAGCUCCCUUCUGGUGUAUGCUUCCCUUGUUGGAGCAGCCGCGGUGAGUCGGAAGACGGUAUGGCUGAAGAUGCAGAUAACGCAUAAUGUUAAGAACGACACAUCUCUUUGAUCUGAAGAAAUACACUAAGAGAUCAACAACAAGGUACGAGAGUGGUCACACGUCUGUUGACUGAGACUAAAUUGGGGUCACACGAUUUUAUUUUAUUUUGGUACUGUCCGAUCUACGCCGGAUGGCUUGAUGGCCGUGUUGUGCCUCCCGGCUGACACUGUUAGGAAUCUUCCCCGAAGAGCCAGCGACCAACGGCAGAGCAGCUUGCCUCCGCCGUCCGUGGCCCCGGCCAAAACCCCGCUCCCCGCCCCACCGCACUGCCGUGGUUGCGCCGCCCCCGGGCCAAUCCACAAAGACUCCCCGUCAUCCAGAUCCGGCGGCAGCAGUACCUUGAACCCACGCAACUCUAAGAUAGCCAUCUAAGCGCUGCUUCCGUGGCAAACUUGCGGCCCCGCACCCUUACGUUAGACACCAGCCAACCGGCAGCCUAGGAGCUUCGCCGCCUCGAGGGGUGCUGCUUCCCAUUGGAAAUCGAUUGGCCCAGAAUAAAAAUUCAGAUAACUGGUGCCUAAAUAAAGUGAUUUGAGAUGAGGGUGCGACCUAUCUGGCGGCAUGGUGAAGUAGGCAGGUCCAGCUGCCGAGUCGGUGAGGCCGGCGCGGUUGCGGUGGCCACCGGCGGCAGGGAAACAGUGAUGUCGCGAUAGUCGAUGGCUACGGGAAGCAGUGCCGGGACUCUGGACGGAUCCGAAGUUGGAGCCGCUCCGACGCCGUGAACAACGGCGGGGGUGAAUCGGCUCCGGUACGGUUCACGCGACCGUCGUCGAGGCAGCUCUAGCAGCACGGAGUAAGAGGCACACGGCCUAGUGCACGACGGCAAAUGGACAGCGUCUCCGGCAUUAGGGAGGAGGGCGGCUGUGAAAUUGGUGCAGUGGGGGCGCCAUGGGGGAGGGGCUGAGGUUUGUCGGCUCGGGAGAAGGGAGCUUCCGGGGAGAAGGUGAUUUGGCGCCCACGAGGUAUGAAUGCGGGAGGGGGGGGGAUUGGGAGGGGAGUGGAACCAUGUUUUACGGACGCAUUUGUCUGAAAUGUGAGGGGGAGUUACAGUUCUACCCCUGCCUUUAGGCUUCUCGGCUUGGGUCUGUGUACUGAGGGUCGAGGAUAGUAGAGUAACUUUGCUUCUCCCCAAAUAGUGGGCGGGAGCGAUUUCGGGCGAGGAGGGCGUGUUUUGAAAUAUAGUGGGCGCGAGCGAUUUCGGGCGAGGAGAGCGUGUUUUGAAAUAGUGGGCGCGAGCUAUUUCGGGCGAGGAGAGCGUGUUUUACCGACCAUGGUUUAUGAAUUAUUCGGCACAUGUCAUUUCGGCCGAGGAGAAGGCACGCUUGGAUGAAGUUACGAACCUACCCUCAAUGCACAAUGGGCCAAUUAAUGCGUCUCCCACAUAGGACGGUAAUUUCGCGUCUCCCAUUUAUUUGCUUGGGCGAAUUCCACCGAGCAGAGGAUGUUUAACGGUUUGUUCAAAAUUUGGGAGAACGAGCAUCCACGUCUACCUUACCAAGUCGAUUCGAAUCAAAUUUAGAAAUAUUAGCUUGCCAUUUCUUUUUUAGAUGGAGAGAUGAUGCUCGGGAGUAAUGUGUUUUUACAUGCUCGUUGCUAGUUGACCCACUCAAAAACGGGAAUCAAACCCAAAAUGAAAUAUCUCGAUUCAAUAAAAUAGCUCGUUCACCAGGUCAAAAUAGUGAACUAAAUCCAAAAUUGAACACCUCAAUCAAAUAGCAUGUUGUACAGUAUUAUAGUACUCCAUGAACAUGUUGAAAGUCAAAUUAAUGAACUUGUUUGAUAUACGCAUAUAUCCGUUCAUGUGUGGAUUGCAGACAACAUGUUCUCCAAUUUAAAUAUUUGAAUACAAGUUUAUAUCGAAACAUGGUUUAUAUCAGUCUUUGAUGCAUAAAACGCGACCUCCCCCUCUCCCGGACUCCUGCUCUCUCUCUCGCUCUCGCCGACAAUCUUCAAUUCUGUCGCACGCAUCCAACACACAAACCUUGUUGGUCCUCUCUCUUUCUCUCCAUCUCUCUCUCUUUGUGUGUGUGCGGGGNNNNNNNNNNNNNNNNNNNNNNNNNNNNNNNNNNNNNNNNNNNNNNNNNNNNNNNNNNNNNNNNNNNNNNNNNNNNNNNNNNNNNNNNNNNNNNNNNNNNNNNNNNNNNNNNNNNNNNNNNNNNNNNNNNNNNNNNNNNNNNNNNNNNNNNNNNNNNNNNNNNNNNNNNNNNNNNNNNNNNNNNNNNNNNNNNNNNNNNNNNNNNNNNNNNNNNNNNNNNNNNNNNNNNNNNNNNNNNNNNNNNNNNNNNNNNNNNNNNNNNNNNNNNNNNNNUCUUUCUAGUUCGCAUGCAUAUAUACUCCAUCUAUAGGUCUCUCUCGCACACCAUGUAUGAUUCUCUAGUACAAGCUAGAUAUCUUGGGUGCACUGAUCGUACGCACACAAAUUCCUUGGCUCGUUGCCCGUAACUCUCUCACGCACCACUCUAUCAUCUCGGAGCUCUUCCCCUUGAAAGAGUCCUAGACUAAGGGGUCCUCGGUCGUCCGGCCUGUUAUCCAUGGGCCAGACUGAUGGGCUGUGCAGACAUGAAGGCCGAAGGCUGUACCCGUGUCCGGAUUGGACUUUCCUUGGCGUGGAAGGCAAGCUUGGCGACCGACUAUGAAGAUUCCCUCUUAUGUAACCGACUCUAUGUAACCCUAGAUCCCCCCGGUGUCUAUAUAAACUGUAGGGCGUAGUCCGGAAGGCAUAUACUCAUUACCAUAGUCAUACAGGCUAGGCUUCUAGGGUUUAGCCAUUACGAUCUCGUGGUAGAUCAACUCUUGUAAUACUCAUAUUCAUCAAGAUCAAUCAAGUAGGAAGUAGGGUAUUACCUCCAUAGAGAGGGCCCGAACCUGGGUAAACAUCGUGUUCCCCGUCUCCUGUUACCAUCGAUCCUAGACGCACAGUUCGGGACCCCCUACCCGAGAUCCACCGGUUUUGACACCGACAUUGGUGCUUUCAUUGAGAGUUCCACUAUGCCGUCGAUGAAAGGUUCGAUGGCCCCUUCGAUCGUCCAUAGUGACGCUGUCCAGGGAGAAACCUUCUUCCCUGGACAGAUUUUUGUGUUCGGCGGCUUCGUACUGCGGGCCAACUCGCUUGGCCAUCUGGAGCAGAUCGAUAGCUAUGCCCCUGGCCACCGGGUCAGAUUCGGAAGCUUGAACUACGUCGCAGAUAUCCGUGGAGACUUGAUCUUCAAUGGAUUUGAGACCGCAGCGAUCGCUCCUCCUCGCCCCGAUGAACAUGACUUAAAUCUGUCAUCGGAUCACAUCCAGGAGAUGGUUCCUGUUGCUGCAGCGACCUUAGAACCGAAGCAGAUCGUGCCAUCCGAUGCCACAGAGUCCGCGGCAUUGGAGCCGCACACGGACUCGACACCCCGCAAUAUUUGCGUCAAUGGAACUCCGGACUCGUCUCCGGCUAUAAGUCCCGGACCGGGUACGCCUGCGGACACCGAGCUGGAUUGGUUAUCGAUUUUCGAAUUUAGCGCCGCAGACAUCUUCCAGCACUCACCUUUUGGUGACGUGCUAAACUCUUCAAAGAAUUUGUCCUUGGAGAAGGACUCAUAGCCGAACUAUGUUCGGUUCGAGCUAGAGGCUGACGACGGGGAAUUUUGCUUCCCACCCACCACCCACUUCAUAGCCACUGCCGAUGACUUAACCGACGUACUUGAUUACGGCUCCGAAGACAUCGAUGGUAUGGACGAUGAUGCCGACAAGGAGCAAGGCCAAGACCCGCCAUUUACUGGAUGUUGGACGGCCACCUCUUGGUACGAUGUGUACAUGGUCGACUCACCUAAAAAAGCUAGCGACGAUGACAAAGGAGAUCCAGUUGCAAAUAAACCUUCUGAGACACUGUCCAAGCGUCGGCGCCCUAAACGCCGCUCUACGCAUCAUCGCUCAAAAGAUGGCAACACUGGCACCGGAGAAAAUAGUACUCCGGGCGACGCCGAAAACAAUGAAGACCCUGUUGGAGCUGCAUCCGAACAGGAUGAACAAGACAACGGGCAAGAUAACCCUGAUAAACUGGCCAGGCCCAAUGACCCGGAUGAUGAUAGUUAUCGUCCAGUUUCCGAGGAUGAGGAGAGCCUUGGCAGCGAGGAUUUCAUCGUGCCUGAGGCACCCCUAGAGCAGGAGCGCUUCAAGCGCCAGCUAAUAGCUACUGCCAGAAGCCUGAAGAAAAAGCAGCAGCAGCUCCAAGUCGAUCAAGACCUACUCAUCGACAGAUGGACCGAUAUCCUGGCAGCCGAAGAAUACGGCCUCAAGCGCCCAGCCAAGAGCUACCCGAAACGGCGACUGCUACCUCAGUUCGAUGAGGAGGCGCCAGAGCCCAUACCUUCCUCGCGCAAUGCGGAGCGACCACCACGCGGUCGUGACAGUGUGGCGGACCGACCGCCCCGCGGUCGGGAUAAAGCGGCAACUCAGGCCGAACAACAGCCCGCCCCACCACGCAAAAGCAGAGACAAAACAGCUCGGGAUUAUACAUAUGACCUUCGGCAAGACCUGGACAAGAGAGCAGGACACACCAAUCAAUCUACGGAUCACGGGGACGUUCUUCGACCCGCGACGACGGCUACCUAUUCGGAGGUGACAAACCAAGUCACGCCCGGGCCGAUAAUCGCAGGCGGACUCCAUCGGAGGUGCGCCGUGACCCGGCCCGAUAUAGAGGCGCUGCACACCCUCUUUGCUUCACAGACGAAGUAAUGGAUCAGGAAUUCCCUGAGGGGUUCAAACCCAUCAAUAUUGAAUCAUACGACGGAACAACCAAUCCCGCAGUAUGGAUCGAGGACUUUAUUCUCCACAUCCACAUGGCCCGUGGAGACGACCUCCACGCCAUCAAAUACCUCCCACUAAAGCUCAAAGGACCAGCUCGACACUGGUUAAACAACCUACCUGAAAAUUCCAUCGGCAGCUGGGAGGACUUGGAAGAAGCCUUCCUUGACAACUUCCAAGGUACAUAUGUCCGGCCGCCUGAUGCCGAUGACUUGAGCAACAUAGUUCAACAACCUGGAGAAUCAACCAGAAAAUUCUAGACUAGAUUCCUAACCUAAAAGAACCAGAUCGUUGACUGCCCGGAUGCCGAAGCCCUAGCGGCCUUUAAACACAGCAUCCGUGAUGAAUGGCUAGCACGCCACCUCGGCCAAGAAAAGUCGAGGUCUAUGGCAGCCCUCACGGCACUUAUGACCCGCUUUUGCGCAGGUGAGGAUAGUUGGCUGGCUCGCAGUAACAACACAGCCAACGAAGCAAGCCCCUCUGAGGCCAAAAACAGCACCGGCAAGCUCCGGCGCAACAGACACAAACGCCAGAGCAAUGGCGAUAACACCAAUGACACUAUAGUUCACGCCGGAUUCAGUGGCUCCAAGUCCGGCCAGCGAAACAAGCCCUAUAAAAGGAACGUCGGAGGACAAUCUAGCUUGGACCGCAUACUCGAUCGUCCGUGCCAGAUACAUGGCACCCCAGACAAAUUUGCCAACCAUACUAACAGAGAUUGUCGGGUAUUUAAGCAAGCUAGCAAGGUAAAUAGCGGAAACAAGGAAGGGGAAUCGCAGAGCGAGGACGAUGACGAGGAGCACCGGCAGCCGAACACUGGGGGGCAGAAGAAAUCCCCGCCUCAAUUCAAAACGGUGAACAUGAUAUAUGCUACACACAUCCCCAAAAGGGAGCGCAAGCGCGCACUCAGGGACGUCUAUGCGGUAGAGCCAGUCGCCCCAAAAUUCAACCCAUGGUCGUCAUUUCUGAUCACCUUCGAUCAUCGAGACCAUCCAACCAGUAUCCGUCAUGGCGGCUCAGCUGCACUGGUACUCGAUCCAAUCAUCGACAGAUUUCACCUGACACGAGUCCUAAUGGACAGUGGUAGCAGCCUCAACCUGCUCUAUCAGGAUACAAUACGUAAACUGGGCAUUGAUCCCUCACGAGUCAAGUCCACGAAGACUACCUUUAAAGGAGUCAUACCAGGCGAAGAGGCCCGCUGUACAGGCUCAAUAACGCUGGAGGUAGUAUUCGGUUCCCCGGAUAACUUCCGAAGCGAAGAACUAAUCUUCGAUAUCGUCCCAUUCCGCAGCGGCUAUCACGCACUGCUCAGACGUACCGCAUUCGCUAGAUUCAAUGCGGUGCCGCAUUACGCUUAUCUCAAGCUCAAGAUGCCCGGUCCACGUGGCGUCAUUACAGUAAAUGGAAACACGGAACGAUCCCUCCGUACAGAGGAGCACACCGCCGCCCUAGCAGCAGAAGCACAGAGCGGCCUUCUCCAGCAGCACUAUAAUCCGGCUGCCGAGCCCCUGGACAUCAUUAAGAGGGUCCGGACUACACUGCAACAGGACAGCUCGGCUCGUCACGAGCCGAAUUGGCAAUUUGGCUUCCGUCCCAGCCCAGAUGAGGGAAUGUCAUUCGUACCGCGCGUACAUAACUACGCACUCAAAACCCCAUGGGUACUGACGGAGGCAUAACCAGCCCGCGAUCCACAGUGCGGCUCGACCGCCCCUGGGAUUCGCACACCUUCACUUUUUCUUUUUCAUUUCGGGUUUUUUCUAUUUUCGAGGUCUAUCAGGACGGCCCGCUUGCAGAACACACCAAGGAAGCAAGGAGCUUUGGCGUACAAGGGAAUCCCCAGGUGGUCUCUGCUAACGAUCGCCAUACCCGUUUUACAUACUCAUAUGCAACUCACCCUUGGUCACGGCACGUUAAAUAGUCUUACUUGCUUAUCGCAUUACUUGCACAAAAUACGUCUCGACGUACUAAUUACAUCACAAUGAUGAAUAAAUGGUGGCGUCAGCUUAUUACUUAAUUUUACUGUUUCCUCACCUUUAUAUUUAUUACUCAUUGCACACGUACACCAUGGUACGUACUACUACACCAGGGGCUUCAUCACGCCCCGCAUUAUGGCAAUAAAAGUCCGAACACUUUUACAGUAUAGUUCGGCACCCCAAACUUAUAGCAUUAUAUGCAUCGGCUCCGAAUCAUGUCUUUGGUCAAUAGUUGGGUUGCCCGGCUCCUGUGCUUACUACCUUACGUUCCGCUAUAUCGGCUAGGGUAGUAAAGGGAGAACUACUGCGAUUGUGUCCCGGUUCUUCCGGACGAGCACCUCAGUAGAGAAAGCCGAAAAUUGACUGUCAUGAUGCAGUUAGAGCUGGUCAGCUGUUCAAGAUGUUCCAAAUCGUUAGAGAUUUUUUCCGCUUCUUGCGAAGAAUCGGUUCCUCCGAUUAGGCGUGUACAACGCCCCUAGUCCGGUCUUCCGAAUACCAGGGGCUUCACCGACUUUCUUAAUUGUCAAACUCCUAUGGCUAAGUGAGGGCGGUAAAGGCCGCAUAGUCUGAUUGCCUUGUUCGUUGCGCUAAACACCUCCUUUAAGGACCAGAAUGUGGAGUAAAGAGUGUUUAGAUUUAUCCCGAACACCCCCGUACUAUCUACGUGGGGGCAGAAGCCGACGACUGGUCAACCCUCAGAUUUCGUAAAUGGCCGCACAGGAGGUAAAAUCUAAAUCGCAAGCAUUAUAUUACAUAACAUCAUUGUUCCAUAUUACAGGACAGGAUAAUACAAAUGUCCUCAUGGGAAUAUAACAUCCUUCGAAAAUUGCUCCGCCACAAGGCGGGACCCCUCCAGGACACCAUCAAAAUAGAGCUCGGGUCUACGAUGCUCCUUGCCCUCCGGCGGCCCCUCGGUCAUCAGCUUCUUGGCAUCCAGCUUUGCCCAAUGCGUCUUGACACGGGCAAACGCCAUACGCGCACCUUCAAUACAGACCGACCGCUUCACGGCUUCGAGCCGUGGACAGGCACUUACAAGCCGCUUAACAAGUCCGAAGUAGCUGCUAGGUAUAGGCUCGGCAGGCCACAGCCGGACUAUCAGGUCCUUCAUGGCUAGCUCCACCGACCUGUGCAGCUCGACCAACUGCUUCAGCUGGUCGCUAAAGGGCACCGGAUGUUCGGGUCCAAGAUGUUGAGACCAGAAUAGCUUCUCCGUAGACAUCCCUUCUUCGGCUCUAUAAUGCUCGGCAGCAUCUAAUAUACUGCGCGGCAGAUCCGUAAACGCCCCUGGAAAACCCAUAUUCAGAUAAGUACAAGGAAUGUUUCUUCUACAUACUUGCUUUGCAUGGUGAAAGACUUACCCGCCGCAAUCUUCUUGGCCGCCUGAAUUUCCUGGAGGGCGUUCUGGAGCUCUUGCUGCGCCUCGCUAACCCGGGCCUCGUGCUUCUCGCGUGCGGCGCGUUCCUUGGCCGCUUUGUCCUCGGCCUCGGCUAACGCCUUCGUGAGGGCUGCCACCUCGGUCGUGGCCCCUAAUAAAAUUUAUGACACUUUAGUCUGGACGGACUAUUCAUUUUUCUUAAAAUGUACCCGCAGGUUACUUCAUACCUUGGCUAUCCUCCAGCUGCUUCUUCACGAGGCCAAGCUCCUCCUCGGCCCGCUCCAGUUUCUUCUUCAGUCUGGAGACCUCCGCAGCAUGAGUGGUGGCAGCCUGCAGCGAUACCUACUUAUUCACAUAGACAACUUAUGUUAGACUCCUGCGAUAUUUAUUCUUGAUCCUCUGUUCGGCCUUUUCUUCCCGAACACCAAACAGAGCAUCAGGGGCUACUGUCUAUACUGUGAUAUUCUUCCUACAACCACAUUACUUACCUCAAAGCCCGUUAGAAGGCUAGUGCAGGCUUCGGUCAGUCCGCUUUUGAUGAACUGAACCUUCUCUAUUACCGUGCCCAUAAGGGCACGGUGUUCAUCCACAAUAGAGGCGCCUCGUAGCACCUCCAGAGGAUUAUCCGGUGCCUCUGGUUGGACAGACGUCACCGACAGAACAGGCACAUUCCCUCCUUUUGGGGAAUGCCGUUCGCUGGACUCCGGAGCCGCAUAGAUCUCCGAAAUGGUAUCCGGCUGAGGUCCGAAGGGAAUUUGGCCCCCGUCACCAGUCUCCAUAGGGGCUUUUCCCCCAUGUGCCCAGCGGCUGAGGAAUCAUCCUGGGGCGCCGCCCCGACGAUCUCCGGAAACUUCCCCCGGUCGGGAAAGGUCUUUUGCGACACCACCUCGUCAUCACCCUUGGGAGAGAAUGAGCAGGUGGCGGAGACAUGCUAGCCAUCUCCUUUGAGUCUAGCGAUCCCUCUGUCGAGGAUCGCGGGGAGCCAUCGCGUGCCGGACUACAGUGACAAGGUUUAAGAUAUAUCAAUAUUACAAUCCGGGAAGGCCAGACGUUUUCGGAUUCUGGUACUUACGAGGCGGCCCGAGGCUUGGUCCGGCGAGGUCGCUCCGGACUGCUAUCGACAUCCCACGCGGAGUUAUCCGCGAGGGAGCCUUUAACCCUCUUAGGCGCUUUCGCCUCCGAAUUUGUGGGGGCCGCUCUCUUCUUCCUCCCCACUUCAGGUGGGGAGUCGUUUUCUUCUUCCUCUUCGUCAUCCUCGUCAGCGGACGAAGAGGAAGUCUCGUCUUCGGACGUCACGUCUGGAGCGCCUUUUCGGCGAGGGCCCUUCUUGGCCCCUUUGGCCGCUUUCUUGGCCGCUUUCUCUGGCACCUCGUAAGGUGCCGGAAAUAUCAUUCUCGUCAGUAGCGGGAAUUCUUGGUCCUCGGGCAGCGGAGCCGGACAGUUAAUUCCCUCUGCUACCUUGAUCCAGGCCUGAAACAUGGGUAGGAAAGCUUAGGCUUCCCCUCAAAAUACGCUAGUAAAGGGUAUACCUUGAAAACAUGAAAGAACUUACCGGAUUAGCCUGACGUUUUAAGCUAAGCCCGCGAUCCUCGGUCGUGGCCGGUGGCGUCUCGCCGGCCUUGAAGAGCACUUUCCAUAUGUCUUCGUGCGUCGUGCCGAAGAGCUCUAGUAGCAUCUGGUGCUUGGCCGGAUCGUAUUCCCACAGGUAGCAAGUCCGGCGUUGGCACGGAAGGACCCGACGAAUGAGCAUGACCUAGAUCACGUUGACAAGUUUGAUUUUCCUGUCUAUCAUGUUCUGGACGCAUGUCUGGAGCCCGGUCAGCUCGUCCGAGGGACCCCAGGUUAGGCCCCUCUCUUGCCAGGAGGUGAGCCGCAUCGGGAUUCCGGAUCGGAAUUCAGGGGUCGCCGCCCAAUUGGCAUCGCGCGGCUCGGUAAUGUAAAACCACCCCGAUUGCCACCCGUUCACCGUCUCCGCGAAUGAACCUUCGGGCCAGGUGAUGUUGGGCAUCUUGCCCACCAUGGCGCCUCCGCACUCUGCUUGCUUGCCGCUCACCACCUUCGGUUUACAUUGAAGGUCUUCAGCCAUAGGCCGAAAUGAGGUGGGAUGCGGAGAAAGGCCUCGCACACGACAAUGAAUGUCGUGAUGUUGAGAAUGAAGUUGGGGGCCAGGUCAUGAAAGUCCAGCCCGUAGUAAAACAUCAAUCCACAAACGAAUGGGUGAAGAGGGAACCCCAGCCCGCGGACGAAAUGUGUAAGAAACACAACCCUCUCAUGGGGCUCUGGAGUAGGGACGAUCUGUCCCUUGGCCGGGAGUCGGUGAGCGAUCUCCUUGGCCAGAUAUCCAGCCUCCCGGAGCUCCUUGAUAUCCUUCUUCUUGACGGAGGAGGCCAUCCACUUGCCUCCAGCUCCGGAUCCGGACAUAUUUGGAGUGCUUUCUCGGACGAGGAAAAAGCUAAAGCUUGGGCGCUGGAGCUCAGGGACAGAAGGGCUGAGGAGGAACCGAGGUGUGGGUGAAGAAAGGGAAUCCUUAUCUCCUUAUAAAGGCCAUGAAUAUCAAGCACCUCCCCACUCGCCUUAAACUCGCCUAUUCCCAAGGGCUGUAUAAACGGCACGGUUGGGUUACCCAUGCCCGCAUUGAUGAGAAUCCCGUGAUAAGGGGACACGAUCUCUGCUUUGACAAGACAUGCCAUUGGCAACCGCGUCUCGGGACUUGGGGCGUCGAACACAAAAGAGGUUUGGAAUUAUGACCGGUCGGACGUAAUGUCAUGCUGCAAAAAAGUUCUCAGCGGAUGGAACUCGUGUAAAAAUAUAUUCUCUAUGUGUUUGUGUAUGGUGUGUGUAACAGGUCCGGAUACUAUCAUCGCAUCCGAAGACUAUCUUGGAGUUCGGAAAAAGGGGAACCCGCCUUGCAAUGCCGAACACAAUCUGCGCGCCGAACUCAUCGUCAUUGAAGCCAGGUUCAGGGGCUACUGAGGGAGUCCUGGACUAAGGGGUCCUCGGGCGUCCGGCCUGUUAUCCAUGGGCCGGACUGAUGGGCUGUGAAGACAUGAAGGCCGAAGGUUGUACGCGUGUCCGGAUUGGACUCUCCUUGGCGUGGAAGGCAAGCUUGGCGACCGACUAUGAAAAUUCCCUCUUAUGUAACCGACUCUAUGUAACCCUAGAUCCCCCCGGUGUCUAUAUAAACUGGAGGGCGUAGUCCGGAAGGCAUAUACUCAUUACCAUAGUCAUACAGGCUAGGCUUCUAGGGUUUAGCCAUUACGAUCUCGUGGUAGAUCAACUCUUGUAAUACUCAUAUUCAUCAAGAUCAAUCAAGCAGGAAGUAGGGUAUUACCUCCAUAGAGAGGGCCCGAACCUGGGUAAACAUCGUGUCCCCCGUCUCGUGUUACCAUCGAUCCUAGACGCACAGUUCGGGACCCCCUACCCGAGAUCCGCCGGUUUUGACACCGACAUUGGUGCUUUCAUUGAGAGUUCCACUAUGUCGUCGACGAAAGGUUUGAUGGCCCCUUCGAUCGUCCAUAGUGACGCUGUCCAGGGAGAAACCUUCUUCCCCGGACAGAUUUUUGUGUUCGGCGGCUUCGUACCGCGGGCCAACUCGAUUGGCCAUCUGGAGCAGAUCGAUAGCUACGCCCCUGGCCACCGGGUCAGAUUUGGAAGCUUGAACUACGUCGCGGAUAUCCAUGGAGACUUGAUCUUCAAUGGAUUUGAGACCGCAGCGAUCGCUCCCCCUCGCCCCGAUGAACAUGACUUAAAUCUGUCAUCGGAUCACAUCCAGGAGAUGGUUCCUGUUGCUGCAGUGGCCUUAGAACCGAAGCAGAUCGUGCCAUCCGAUGCCACAGAGUCCGCGGUGUUGGAGCCGCACACGGACUCGACACCCCGCAAUAUUUGCGUCAAUGGAACUCCGGACUCGUCUCCGGCUAUAAGUCCCGGACCGGGUACGCCUGCGGACACCGAGCUGGAUUGGUUAUCGAUUUUCGAAUUUAGCGCCGCAGACAUCUUCCAGCACUCACCUUUGGGUGACGUGCUAAACUCUUCAAAGAAUUUGUCCUUGGAGAAGGACUCACAACCGAACUAUGUUCGGUUCGAGCUAGAGGCUGACGACGGGGAAUUUUGCUUCCCACCCACCACCCACUUCAUAGCCACUGCCGAUGACUUAACCGACGUACUUGAUUACGGCUCCGAAGACAUCGAUGGUAUGGACGACGAUGCCGACAAGGAGCAAGGCCAAGACCCGCCAUUUACUGGACGUUGGACGGCCACCUCUUCGUACGAUGUGUACAUGGUCGACACACCUAAAAAAGCUAGCGACAAUGACAAAGGAGAUCCAGUUGCGAAUAAACCUUCUGAGACACAGUCCAAGCGCUGGCGCCCUAAACGCCGCUCUAAGCCUCAUCGCUCAAAACAUGGCAACACUGGCACCGGAGAAAAUAGUACUCUGGGCGACGCCGAAAACAAUGAAGACCCUGUUGGAGCUGCAUCCGAAUAGGAGGAACAAGACAACGGGCAAGAUAACCCUGAUAAACAGGCCAGGCCCAAUGCCCCGGAUGAUGAUAGUUAUCGUCCAGUCUCCGAGGAUGAGGAGAGCCUCGGUAGCGAGGAUUUCAUCGUGCCUGAGGCAGCUACUGCCAGAAGCCUGAAGAAAAAGCAGCAGCAGCUCCAAGUCGAUCAAGACCUACUCAUCGACAGAUGGACCGAUGUCCUGGCAGCUGAAGAAUACGGCCUCAAGCGCCCAGCCAAGAGCUACCCGAAACGGAGACUGCUACCUCAGUUCGAUGAGGAGGCGCUAGAGCCCAUACCUCCCUCGCGCAAUGUGGAGCGACCACCACGCGGUCGUGACAGUGCGGCGGACCGACCGCCCCGCGGUCGGGAUAAAGCGGCAACUCAGGCCGAACAACAGCCCGCCCCACCACGCAUAAGCAGAGACAAAACAGCUCGGGAUUAUACAUAUGACCUUCGGCAAGACUUGGACAAGAGAGCAGGACACACCAGAUCAAUCUACGGAUCACGGGGAUGUUCUUCGACUCGUGAUGACGGCUACCUAUUCGGACGUGGCAAACCAAGUCACGCCCGGGCCGAUAAUCGCAGGCGGACUCCAUCGGAGGUGCGCCGCGACCCGACCCGAUAUAGAGGUGCCGCACACCCUCUUUGCUUCACAGACGAAGUAAUGGAUCAUGAAGUCCCUGAGUGGUUCAAACCCGUCAAUACUGAAUCAUACGACGGAACAACCAAUCCCGCAGUAUGGAUCGAGGACUUUAUUCUCCACAUCCACAUGGCCCGUGGAGACGACCUCCACGCCAUCAAAUACAUCCCACUAAAGCUCAAAGGACCAGCUCGACACUGGUUAAACAGCCUGCCUGAAAAUUCCAUCGGCAGCUGGGAGGACUUGGAAGAAGCCUUCCUUGACAACUUCCAAGGUACAUAUGUCCGGCCCAUCUAAAACUCUAUCUCUCUCCCUCGUUCUCUCUCCAUCUCACACGCACACACACACAAUCUCAUGCCUAGCCAAGUAUGAUGGUCUCUCACUCAAUUGUAGGCACACGCAGUCCCCCUAUAUGUAUAUGACUAGCUAAUCUUAGUCUCCAUCACAAACAUGACGUAGUCCCCCCUAUAUGUAUAUGACUAGCUAAUCUUAGUCUCCAUCACAAACAUGUGCAUGGUCUAUCUCGAUUUUUCUCGGGGCAUCUUUCUAUCGCGCACGCACCUUCCUCGAUCUCCCACCCAUAUAGUCCCCUCACGAUCUCGAGGGGGUCUCUCUAUCACAAACACACCCUCUCGCCCUCCCCAUGCAUCCAUGUUCUCCAUGUGUCCCUCUCGACCUUUGUUCCUUGUUGGCCAGACCUCUAUUGGACAUGUGCUAUAGGGGUGUCUCUCUCCGUUACAAACAAUCACACACUAGCUACCUUCGUGUAUCUCCUCGCCUCGCUUUUCUAUCUCGGAGAUGCAUGCGUGAUAUGUUCGCCUAAGAAACGAAAAAAAACACUCUCUCUAAUUUAUCAUUUGUUGUCACUUUCUCUUUCACACACAUACUCUUUUUGCACACUAACUCGUUCUCCUUCACACGCACUUGAUCCCUCUCGACUUAGGCACUCUCCUCGGUCCAUAGCAUAUUGAUUUAUUGAAAAGUCAAACAUCACAAAGUUUGACUAUGUACGUGGAGAAAAACAAUUACAUGUGGAACAGCAAACAUAUACCAUUAGAUUCACCAUGAGAUGUAGUUUCGUAUGAUGUAUCAUUGGUAUUGAAGAUAUAAAUAACAUUUGUGUAAACCUGAUCAAAGUUUCCAAAGUUUGACUUCUAAAAAAAUUACAUGCACUGCAUUAUCGAGCGGAUGGAAUAUCUCUUUCCCCCUCUCAGCUAUCUGACGCACCACUCAGCCUUAUCGGGGCUCCUCAAUCUCUCUCAAACUUUAUAUCUCCCUGGUUCACACAUUGUAACACCCACGAUGCGGCUAUAUCUCCCACGUGUCGAGGCACGACUUAGAGGCAUAACCGCAUUGUGGUAUUGUCGCAAGAAGGGUCAUCUUCACACAAUCCCAUGUAAUGAACAAGAAUGGGAUAAAGAGUUGGCUUACAAUCGCCACUCCACACAAUACAUAAAUAAACCAUACAUCAAUCAGAGUACACACAUAGGUCCGACUACGGAACCGAAAGAAAAAGAAGACAACCCCAAAUGCUAGAUCCCCGAUCGUCCCAACUGGGCUCCACUACUGAUCAUCAGGAAACGAAACAUAGUAACGACCACGUUCCUCGUCGAACUCCCACUUGAGCUCGGUUGCGUCACCUGCACUGGUAUCGUCGGAACCUGCAACUGUUUUGGAAGUAUCUGUGAGUCACGAGGACUCAGCAAUCUCACACCCGCGAGAUCAAGACUAUUUAAGCUUAUGGGUAGGAAAGGGUAAUGAGGUGGAGCUGCAGCAAGCACUAGCAUGUAUGGUGGCUAACAUAUGCAAAUAAGAGCGAGAAGAGGAGCAACGGAACGGUCGUCAACUAGUAAUGAUCAAGAAGUGAUCCUGAACUCCUACUUACGUCAAACAUAACCCAAAAACCGUGUUCACUUCCCGGACUCCGCCGAAAAGAGACCAUCACGGCUACACACGCGGUUGAUGUAUUUUAAAUAAGUCAAGUGUCAAGUUCUCUACAACCGGAUAUUAACAAAUUCCCAUCUGCCACAUAACCGCGGGCACGGCUCUCGAAAGUUUAUACCCUGCAGGGGUGUCCCAACUUAGCCCAUUAUAAGCUCUCACGGUCAACGAAGGAUAUUCCUUCUCCCAGGAAGACCCGAUCAGUCUCGGAAUCCCGGUUUACAAGACAUUUCGACAAUGGUAAAACAAGACCAGCAAAGCCACCCGAUGUGCCGACAAAUCCCGAUAGGAGCUGCACAUAUCUCGUUCUCAGGGCAACACCGGAUGAGACUAGCUACGAGUAAAACCAGCCCUCAAGUUUCCCCAAGGUGGCCCCGCAGGCAGCUCGGUUCGGACCAACACUCGAAGGAGCACUGGCCCGGGGGGUCUAAAAUAAAGAUGACCCUUGAGUCUGCAGAACCCAAGGGAAAAGGGGAUAGGUGGUAGCAAAUGGUAAAACCAAGGUUGGGCCUUGCUGGAGGAGUUUUAUUCAAAGCGAACUGUCAAGGGGGUCCCAUAAAUCACCCAACCGCGUAAGGAACGCAAAAUCAAGGAACAUAACACCGGUAUGACAGAAACUAGGGCCACAAGAGUGGAACAAAACACCAGGCAUAAGGCCGAGCCUUCCACCCUUUACCAAGUAUAUAGAUGCAUUAAUUAAGAUAAGAGAUAUUGUGAUAUCCCAACAUAUCCAUGUUCCAACAAGGAACAAACUUCAUCUUCACCUGCAACUAGCAACGCUAUAAGAGGGGCUGAGCAAAAGCGGUAACAUAGCCAAAAAACGGUUUGCUAGGAAGGGUGACAAAGGUUAGAGGUUCAUGGCAAUUUGGGAGGCUUGAUAAGCAAGUGGUAGGUAACGCGGCAUAGCAAUAGAACGGACAACUAGCAAGCAAAGAUAGAAGUGAUUUCGAGGGUAUGGUCAUCUUGCCUGAAAUCCCGAUAGGAAGAAGAACGAGUCCAUGAAGAAGACAAACAGACGGAGUCGAACGAAUCCUCACAACUCCGGAACGAAACCGAAGCUAACAAGAGAAGCAAACCGGAAAGAAGCAAACAACAUAGUAAACAACCAUCGCAUAAACAUGGCAUGAUGCACAAUCAAGUAUGAUGCAUGUCCGGUUUAAUGAGCAUGGCAUGGCAAAGUGCAACAAACAACACUACAAAUUAAGUGGAGCUCAAUAUGCAACGAGUUGCAUAUUGACGAAACACCACAUUCAAGUUAUUUAGUUCGCUCUUGUUUAUGUACCCAACAAUAUUAAAUGUUAUUAAACAUGGCAAGGGGUGAAGCAUAUGAAAACUACCUAUCUAGGCAAGUUUAAAUGAGGCCGGAACAACAAACAACAAUUCCGGAAAAUCCUCAUAUGCAUAUUUUGGAAUUGGUACUGUUCUGUCCUAAAGCAUAUUUUAUUGUUGUUAAACAUGCAAAGUAAUGCCACCAUGUUAAACUAUGCAUUUUUCCACCCCAUUUACAUAUAGAGUUUAUUAAAUUCCGGGUUACGGUUAAUUAGUUAUGAAAUAAAUCAUUUUAACAUGGCAUUUAAGCAAAUUAAAUCAAACAACACAUUUAAACAUUUUUAGCAUCGAUGAAAGUGGCAUAUUAUGAAACUAGAUGAAAAACUAAGCAUUUUACACAUAUAAAUUAUUUACAAAUGAUGCACGGUUUGUGAGUUAUUAAAUGCAUGAUCUAGAGGGACUUUUUUGUAAAUGUGUAAACUCCUGGAAAAAUAGCUAAAAUCGCAGACAUGGAAAAAACUACACUGGGCCGAAUCUGGAACAGGAAGCCCAGCAGAGGAAAGGCCAGGGGGCUGCUCAUAUUGGGCUUCAGAGAGCUGGCAGAUCUGGGCCUGGUGCGGCUUGGCUGGAGGCGAUCGAGGCCUCCUAGUCCACGCGGUCGCUCGCACACUCGACCAAGCGACGCAGGCCGCAGCAGGAGAAGCAGGGGCGCAGGUCAACGCAUGCGGCGCGACGCGGCAGCAGCUCUGGCGAGGCGGUUUCGGCGGGGACUGGGACGGCGGGAUCCGGCGGAUCUGGGCGCGGGGAUGGAGCUCCAGCGGCGCGACUUGGGCUCCAUGGAGGGCAGUGGCCGAUGCUGUUGACUGAAGAAAGAAAAAGCAGAAGAGGAUUCAGAGAGGAAACACGGGGAGGAAGUAGAGAGAGACGGCGGGCAUGCGGGAGGAGAUGAGGUGGCGCUGGUCACUUGCGGGUCGCCGGCGAGUUUUGGUCGAGGGGAUGUAGCGGGGCUCAGGACUGCUGCUGCUGCUUGGGUGGCCGACGGCCAUUGACUCAAGGAUGACGAGGAACGCCGGCGAGCUUGCUCCGGGACGACGCAGAUCAGCAAGAGGAGACGGGCGCACGAGGGAGAGGAGCUCGGCUGAAGGAUAGGUCUGGCGGGGCAGCGCGUGGAGGAGGACACGGGUAUGGCUGAAGCCCCGGUGGACUUGGGCGGCGACGAGGCCAGUCUCUGGCGAAGCAGAGGCGCGGGGACGAGGAGGACGGCCUCGAGCGUGAGGGUCCUGGUGACGCGGUCGCCGGCAACGGUGGAGGCGCUGCUCGGGGACGAACGAGCAGGGGAGGGGAAGACUAGGAGGAGAGGAGUCUGGCUGUGGUUGGUGGAUCGAUGGAUUGAAGAUUAUGGUGGUGGCUGACUGGUGAAUCGGGAGGAGGCUGCGGGAUUGGUCCAGUGAAGAAAACGAGGGAGGUGGGUGGCACUGCGGAUGCAUGGAUCUGAUGGGUGGCGGCGGCUGAUCCGAGGAGGGAGGAGGAUGGAUGGGACAUUGCUCCUAAAAUUUAGGGUUAGGGUCUAUUUAUAGGAAGGGGUUAGCUUAGGGGGUUAAUCUGAUCCUUCGAUCAAAAUUGGACGGUAGGGAAAAAUAGGCUAAGGAGUCCAAUAAAUAAAACGAAGAUGUUUUAUAGAUGUUAGGGGAUGAUCCGGACCCAACGGUAAUGACUACACGGUUGGGUUAGGGAUAGCUUUCGGACGCGCACACGAGGGGGGUUUGUGCACUGUACAGAGAGACUCCGGUUUAGGCAAGAGGGCAAAUGAAGAACAUGGUUGGUCUCGGAACAGUCAACAAAAGCAAGGGGGACGCGGAAACUACGAGCGGAUGCAAGUUUUAUGAAAACAUGUGGAUGCAAUGCGCAUGAUGAAAUGCAACAACAACACCAAUAAAACACACGGCGGUCGUGCAAAACAUGGAAGGCAACUGGAGCGCCGGUCUUGGGGCGUUACAACACUCCACCACUACAAGAGGAUCUGGUCCCGAGAUCUAGGAUGGCACCGGAGAGAAGCAGAAAAGGAAGAGGAGAGGUAAACUAAGUUGCUUCUUUGACAAAAGAGUGAAACCACGAACCUUGAGAGAUUGAACGAACGAAAAGAGAGAAUACAAGGGAGAUGUACGAGAUUUAAAACACUCUGUUAUCAAAGAGGAACAAGGAAAAUUGCGAGAACCUUUGUAGGUUGAAGAAUAUGGAACAAGAGCUUAACGGAUCAAAAUUAAUAUGAAAGCACACCGGUAGAAAAGAGAAACAAGGAACAAGAAUGACAUAAUUUGGACAGCACUCCGAUAGAAAAAGGAAGGAAUUAACAUGAACUUUACAAGAUGAGAGGAUACUUAAUGAAAUCAACAACACACUGCCUCCGGAACUAUUGAAAGAAUGGCACAAUGGGUCAGAAAGAUUUCAGACAACACUCCGAUUGAGAAGGGACGCAAAACUUGACAGAAUGGGAAGAACUUGAAAAGAGGCACGACACUCCGGUUGGAAAUGGAUAAGCACGAAAAGAACCCGAUCCUCACAAUUCGAGAUGAUGAGUGAAGAGAGCAACAUCACAAAAUGGAGAAGAAAAUGACAACACCUUCCACAAAUGAAUUUGGAAAGUAUCCUUCCAAGAAGGUUAUAACGGAGUUGUUGGAAAACCAACAACGAAAGGAUAUGAUCCUCGUGGGCUUAUGGAGACAUCUCAAAACAUGAGGUGAAAUUCUACCACUAACGAAAACAAUUAAUAUAAUUGAUAACACCAACGAGAUGAAAAACUUUUUUUCACCAAGAGGAUAGGAGAAAACUUGGAUCAUUGAUAAGCACCACAAUAGCAACAUUCCUUAGGGAAGGCUUUAGGUGAAACAUGACACAAGAUAACUCCAACGAAGAGAUUGGUGGAUUUAAAAUAUCUCAUUCUUGACAACAUGUGAAUCAUGAAACACGAACUCAAAUUGUCAAGAAUGACAUAACACCACCUCAAAUGAUAAGGUAGAACGAAUUGCACUUCGGAAUGCAAGAUGAAGAAUGCUUGAACUCCUCCAACAAGAAUCUUGAAGAACACUUCGAGAAUGAAUUAAAUCCUUGAUGAACCACCAUGUAGAGCCUCCAUGAAGAACUCCGGUAAUAAAAGGAUGAUAAAAGAAAGAGAAGUUGAGAACACAAGGUGAAGCCUUGCAAUGAUUUAGAUGGAGCUUCGCGAUGAGAUAAAGCGGAAAACUUGGAACUCCGGAAAAGAAAGAUGAACAACAUAUAACUGAGAAAUUGAUAUCACUACGAACUCCGGAAGAAGGAAUUAAUCACUUGGAUGAAACAAGAACAAGAAUUAUGUUAUGCGUAUCCUUCACCAAUAUAAAUUGAUGACAAGCAACGGAUUUUGCAUACUACUUAUUCUCGUAGAAAAGAUUAAGAUAGAUAUUGCGCAAACUUGGGAAGGUCUUCAUCGAACCACCGGUAGGAUUGAAACAACGAAUAAAUUGAUAUGCUAACGAAGGAAGAGAAAUCUUGAACGAACCGCCGUAAGAAUUGAAAAUGAAAGUGGCAAAAGCAUAAUACACCGGGAAAAAUUGGAAAACGAAUGAAGAUACUUGGGGGGAUUUAGAUACAUGUGAACGAAUAGAUCACGAGCUGAUUAGAGAAUACUUGAAUGAUGCACCGGUAAGAUUUGGAGAAUGAGAUCUGAAAGCUGAGAAUGAAUAAUUCCGAAAUGAUGAGAUCAGGAGAAUCAAACUGAAAAGACUCUUGAAUUGCUCCGGAUGGGUGAAAAAAAUUCUCACAAUAAAAAACAAUUAUGAGAGGAUGGCAUCAAGCUAGAACCACGAAUCUUCAAGAGAGUGGACCAAGAUUUUAGGAGAAAUCUCUACCUUGAUCUUGAAAUGUUGAGAAUGACGAUGAGAAACACCACCAUGAAUUGUUGAGAUACUCCGGGAUGAAAAUUAGAAAGGUUGAACGAGCGAUGAAAAGAAUUUGAAAGAUCUUGGAGAAAGACAUUUGACUGAUGAUAACCCAUUCUUACAUCAAACUUUGCAAUGAAUUUGAGAAUAACUCCGAAAAGAAUUAGAAGAGUCAGGUAAGAUCCUGGGAAAAGACCUGUGGGUUAGGGCCCACUCAAAAGAACCACCGUUGAACGAUUGCUUGAAAAGAGAGAUUGCACUAGUUGAAUUAAAUGGCUUGAAUGAGAUAGCAUCCUCAAAAGAACUUGAGUGAAUUGAGAAUGGAAACUUGAAUCUUCUGAGAUAUCUUCAACACUCUGGAACAAAUGAAUAGCGAGAGGUGAAUGAUUAAUUGGUGCACCGGAAUGGGAAAGCAUUGUGAAAAGAGGAAAAGGGAUAAGAUCAACAACGAAAGCUUGAGUUAAAUCCACCGGAAAAGAAUACAAGAAUGAAGAAUGAUGAACUUGAAGCUUCGUUAGUAUCUUCAUGGGAAAUCAUCAGAUCAGAACAUUGAUGGAAAAGAAUGGAGAGACUUACCAUCAAUAAAAUGAUACUUGAUUAAGAAAUAUGAGUCCUUGAACAAAAGGGUGGGAGGGUGGGAAAACAAAGGCAACUUGGGUCGGAUGAAACGAACACCGUUGAGAAAAAGCUUAGAACUGAUCUUGCGAAUGUUGGAAUGACUGGAUGCACUUGAAGAGAAACACACCGGUUGGAAAGAAUUGGGAUGACAAUCUCGAUGAUCAAGAAGGAUUGGUAUUCACAUAGAAGUAUGAGAACACCGCUUAGGAAAGGUAUGGAAUCAACAUUUGACUUCGACGCAACUCGAAUACCACAAACCAAAACAAAACAAAGGAUUGGCUUAGGAAAUAAGCCGGAAACAAACAUAUGAUAGAUCCCAUAUCGUAUCAUGUGUGUGUUGGAAAGAUAUCCUACGAGAUACUUGAAUUCCCACAUAUAAACUCCCGAAACUUUCUGGUUAUGCAAUCUGGUGUUGGGGAUACAGGGGACACAAUAUAUCUCACCCAAACUAACAAUACCUAGAUCCAGCUAUAUCCAUCCUUCAACACAUAACCAAGAAACCUUCGAAAAUCAUUUACCUCAACCUUCGAAAAGCAUCCGUUAUACGAGUUAUGGCAAUACUCCCGAACUCCCGCCCCAGUACUGGGUGGCGUCGAGGUGAUCUCACCAACAACUGCAUAAAAGAGAUUUUCGAUGUCGGCGAAACUCAGGUAUUCCAGAACUGCAACGAUAAAAUUGUGAUGACAACACCUCGGAGCUCAACUCCCCGGGACACUGCCACAACCCCUAAAUGUCAGGAGGCACCAAGAACAAUGUUCUCGUCACAAAACCAUCGGAACGAUUCCAAAAUACCCGCGUGAUCCUAAAUUUUUUUUUAGUGAAAUUUGAGGAGAGGAAAGUCAAAACAUCUACGUCAGGAGGCCUCACCAGAGCGACGAAGGGACUGAGGAGUAAAAAGAAUCCUACUCUCCGAUAUAUAUAAUCCUAAGACUCAAAACAUUUUUUUCUAGACUCAACAACAUCAGCGAUUCGAUCAAGCAGGGGGCUCCUAAGUCGGGGAUGGCUCUGAUUACCAACUUGUAACACCCACGAUGCGGCUAUAUCUCCCACGUGUCGAGGCACGACUUAGAGGCAUAACCGCAUUGUGGUAUUGUCGCAAGAAGGGUCAUCUUCACACAAUCCCAUGUAAUGAACAAGAAUGGGAUAAAGAGUUGGCUUACAAUCGCCACUUCACACAAUACAUAAAUAAAUCAUACAUCAAUCAGAGUACACACAUAGGUCCGACUACGGAACCGAAAGAAAAAGAAGACAACCCCAAAUGCUAGAUCCCCGAUCGUCCCAACUGGGCUCCACUACUGAUCAUCAGGAAACGAAACAUAGUAACGACCACGUUCCUCGUCGAACUCCCACUUGAGCUUGGUUGCGUCACCUGCACUGGUAUCGUCGGCACCUGCAACUGUUUUGGAAGUAUCUGUGAGUCACGAGGACUCAGCAAUCUCACACCCGCGAGAUCAAGACUAUUUAAGCUUAUGGGUAGGAAAGGUUAAUGAGGUGGAGAUGCAGCAAGCACUAGCAUGUAUGGUGGCUAACAUACGCAAAUAAGAGCGAGAAGAGGAGCAACGGAACAGUCGUCAACUAGUAAUGAUCAAGAAGUGAUACUGAACUCCUACUUACGUCAAACAUAACCCAAAAACCGUGUUCACUUCCCGGACUCCGCCGAAAAGAGACCAUCACGGCUACACACGCGGUUGAUGUAUUUUAAAUAAGUCAAGUGUCAAGUUCUCUACAACCGGAUAUUAACAAAUUCCCAUCUGCCACAUAACCGCGGGCACGGCUCUCGAAAGUUUAUACCCUGCAGGGGUGUCCCAACUUAGCCCAUUAUAAGCUCUCACGGUCAACGAAGGAUAUUCCUUCUCCCAGGAAGACCCGAUCAGUCUCGGAAUCCCGGUUUACAAGACAUUUCGACAAUGGUAAAACAAGACCAGCAAAGCCACCCGAUGUGCCGACAAAUCCCGAUAGGAGCUGCACAUAUCUCGUUCUCAGGGCAACACCGGAUGAGACUAGCUACGAGUAAAACCAGCCCUCAAGUUUCCCCAAGGUGGCCCCGCAGGCAGCUCGGUUCGGACCAACACUCGAAGGAGCACUGGCCCGGGGGGUCUAAAAUAAAUAUGACCCUUGAGUCUGCAGAACCCAAGGGAAAAGGGGAUAGGUGGUAGCAAAUGGUAAAACCAAGGUUGGGCCUUGCUGGAGGAGUUUUAUUCAAAGCGAACUGUCAAGGGGGUCCCAUAAAUCACCCAACCGCGUAAGGAACACAAAAUCAAGGAACAUAACAGCGGUAUGACGGAAACUAGGGCGGCAAGAGUGGAACAAAACACCAGGCAUAAGGCCGAGCCUUCCACCCUUUACCAAGUAUACAGAUGCAUUAAUUAAGAUAAGAGAUAUUGUGAUAUCCCAACAUAUCCAUGUUCCAACAAGGAACAAACUUCAUCUUCACCUGCAACUAGCAACGCUAUAAGAGGGCUGAGCAAAAGCGGUAACAUAGCCAAACAACGGUUUGCUAGGAAGGGUGACAAAGGUUAGAGGUUCAUGGCAAUUUGGGAGGCUUGAUAAGCAAGUGGUAGGUAACGCGGCAUAACAAUAGAACGGACAACUAGCAAGCAAAGAUAGAAGUGAUUUCGAGGGUAUGGUCAUCUUGCCUGAAAUCCCGAUAGGAAGAAGAACGAGUCCAUGAAGAAGACAAAUAGACGGAGUCGAACGAAUCCUCACAACUCCGGAACGAAACCGAAGCUAAAAAGAGAAGCAAACCGGAAAGAAGCAAACAACAUAGUAAACAACCAUCACAUAAACAUGGCAUGAUGCACAAUCAAGUAUGAUGCAUGUCCGGUUUAAUGAGCAUGGCAUGGCAAAGUGCAACAAACAACACUACAAAUUAAGUGGAGCUCAAUAUGCAACGAGUUGCAUAUUGAUGAAACACCACAUUCAAGUUAUUUAUUUCGCUCUUGUUUAUGUACCCAACAAUAUUAAAUGUUAUUAACCAUGGCAAGGGGUGAAGCAUAUGAAAACUACCUAUCUAGGCAAGUUUAAAUGAGGCCGGAACAACAAACAACAAUUCCGGAAAAUCCUCAUAUGCAUAUUUUGGAAUUGGUACUGUUCUGUCCUAAAGCAUAUUUUAUUGUUGUUAAACAUGCAAAGUAAUGCCACCAUGUUAAAAUAUGCAUUUUUCCACCCCAUUUACAUAUAGAGUUUAUUAAAUUCCGGGUUACGGUUAAUUAGUUAUGAAAUAAAUCAUUUUAACAUGGCAUUUAAGCAAAUUAAAUCAAACAGCACAUUUAAACAUUUUUAGCAUGGAUGAAAGUGGCAUAUUAUGAAACUAGAUGAAAAACUAAGCAUUUUACAUAUAUAAAUUAUUUACAAAUGAUGCACGGUUUUUGAGUUAUUAAAUGCAUGAUCUAGAGGGACUUUUCUGUAAAUCUGUAAACUCCUGGAAAAAUAGCUAAAAUCACAGACAUGGAAAAAACUACACUGGGCCGAAUCUGGAACAGGAAGCCCAGUAGAGGAAAGGCCAGGGGGCUGCUCACAUUGGGCUUCAGAGAGCUGGCAGAUCUGGGCCUGGUGCGGCUUGGCUGGAGGCGAUCGAGGCCUCCUGGUCCACGCGGUCGCUCGCACACUCGACCAAGCGACGCAGGCCGCAGCGGGAGAAGUAGGGGCGCAGGUCAACGCACGUGGCGCGACGCGGCAGGAGCUCCGGCGAGGCGGUCUCGGCGGGGACCGAUCGGAACGGGACUGGGACGGCGGGAUCCGGUGGAUCUGGGCGCGGGGAUGGAGCUCCAGCGGCGCGACUUGGGCUCCAUUGAGGGCAGUGGCCGAUGCUGUUGACUGAAGAAAGAAAAAACGGAAGAGGAUUCAGAGAGGAAACACGGGGAGGAAGUAGAGAGAGACGGCGGACAUGCGGGAGGAGAUGAGGUGGCGCUGGUCACCUGUGGGUCGCCGGCGAGUUUUGGUCGAGGGGGAUGCAGCGGGGCUCAGGACUUCUGCUGCUGCUUGGGUGGCCGACGGCCAUUGACUCAAGGGUGACGAGGAACACCGGCGAGCUUGCUCCGGGACGACGCAGAUCAGCAAGAGGAGACGGGCGCACGAGGGAGAGGAGCUCGGCUGAAGGAGAGGUCGGGCGGGGCAGCGCGUGGAGGAGGGCACGGGUAUGGCUGAAGCCCCGGUGGACUUGGGCGGCGACGAGGCCAGUCUCUGGCGAAGCAGAGGCGCGGGGACGAGGAGGACAGCCUCGAGCGUGAGGGUCCUGGUGACACGGUCACCGGCGACGGUGGAGGCGCUGCUCGGGGACGAACGAGCAGGGGAGGGGAAAUCUUGGAGGAGAGGAGUCUGGCUAUGGUUGGUGGAUCGAUGGAUUGAAGAUUAUGGUGGUGGCUGACUGGUGCAUCGGGAGGAGGCUGCGGGAUUGGUAUAGUGAAGAAAACGAGGGAGGUGGGUGGCGCUGCGGAUGCAUGGAUCUGAUGGGUGGCAGCGGCUGGUCCGAGGAGGGAGGAGGAUGGAUGGGACAUUGCUCCUAAAAUUUAGGGUUAGGGUCUAUUUAUAGGAAGGGGUUAGCUUAGGGGGUUAAUUUGAUCCUUCGAUAAAAAUCGGACGGUCGGGAAAAAUAGGCUAAGGAGUCCAAUAAAUAAAACGGAGAUGUUUUAUAGAUGUUAGGGGAUGAUCCGGAACCAAUGGUAACGACUACACGGUUGGGUUAGGGAUAGCUUUCGGACGCGCACACGAGGGGGGGUUUGUGCACUGUACAGAGAGACUCUGGUUUAGGCAAGAGGGCAAACGAAGAACAAGGUUGGUCUCAGAACGGUCAACGAAAGCAAGGGGGGACGCGACAACUACGAGCGGAUGCAAGUUUUAUGAAAACAUGUGGAUGCAAUGCGCAUGAUGACAUGAUGAAAUGCAACAACAACACCAAUAAAACACACGGCGGUCAUGCAAAACAUGGAAGGCAACUGGAGCGCCGGUCUUGGGGCGUUACACACAUACACAUGUCUCGCUCGCGCUAUACAUAUAGACCCAUCCAACACUCUCCGCCCUUGUUCUCUCUCUAUGUGACACGCACCCCCCUAAUAAGUACCAUAAUCCCUCACUCCAUCAUAGGCACAGGCACUCCCCCCCUAAGUAUGAUUAUCUCUCACUAGCCAUCAGGAACACACGUAUUGUCUCCUUCCAUCCAUACGUCUAUCUCGAUAUCUCUUGGGGUAUCUUCUUUCGCGCACACACCUUGUCACUCGAUCUCCCACCCAUGUAGUCCCAUCACUAUCUCCAGGGGAUCUCUCUAUGACAAACAUACACUCUCUCCUCCCCAUGUCUGCAUUUUCUCCGUACGUCUCUCUCGACCUCUCUCCCUUGUUUGUCAUACCCCUCUUGGCCACGUGCUAGGGGUCUUGCUCUCUCGGUUGCAAACAACCACACACUAUCUCCUCACCUUGCUUCCGUUGUCGAAGAUGCAUGUGUGAUAUGUUUGCAUAAGACACACAUGUUUUUUCUUGACUUUUAUCGAGUGUUGUCCAUGUCUCUUUCACACACGCACACACACUUUUUUCACUCACUCUUUCUAUUUCACUCUCUCUCUCUCUAGUUAGGGACUCUCUCACGUCCAUAAGCAUAUGGAUGUUUUGAAAAGUCAAACCUCAGAAAAGUUUGACCAGGUAUAUGUGGAGAAAAACAUUUACAUCUGGAAAGAUCAUUAGAUUCAUCACAACAUGUACUUACUUCAUACUAUCAUUUAUCUUUGGUAUUGUAGAUAUAAGUAAUUUCUUUAUAAACUUGGUCAAAGUUUCAAAAGUUUGACUUUAAAAAAAAUGUUGGAACUACAUUAUCGAACGGAGGGAGUAGCUCUUUCUCUCUCUCUCUCUCUCUCUCUCUCUCUCUGCUAUCUCUCACGGGCCUCCCCUCUCACACGAACACUCUAUACCGACGGAUUAUACGCUCACUGUGUCAUCGUAUAGCUCCAUAUAUUGUUUAGUUGACCGGUCAACCAGUCCACAUGUUGCCUUGUCAGCUCGUGUUCUGUAUCUUCGUGUGCUGGCCCAUGUGGCAGUGGGUGAAAAUAAGUAAACUAGAGGCCCAUCUGACACGCGGUGAAGUAAACAAAGUUGAAACCACUCGGGGUAGCACCCCGCACGCUAGUAAAUUGAGGGCGCAUUGAGGACACACUUCUUCCGCGUGGAGGACGCACUCGCGCACAAUUCACCACUGCGCGGCGGCAUGCACAGAAGGACGCACUCACACACACCCAGCACACAGCACACAACAGCACACGUGUACACUAGCGUCGCCGCCGGUUGAGAUGGACGGCGAGGCAGCCAACAAGUGGAGGCGCCUCGAGCCAAAACCGCAUCCGGCGAGCCUGGACUUCAUCAGCAGCCUCCCCGACGACAUGCUGCUCGUCAUCAUCGGCCUCCUCCCCACCAAAUCUGCCGUGCGGACCGCCCUGCUCUCCCGGUGGUGGCGCCCCCUCUGGCGCCGCGUCCCCCUCAACCUCACCAUCGACAGCUGCCUCUGCGACGGGGAUUGCAAACACAUGGCCGGAGUCUCCAAGAUACUUUCAUCGCACCCUGGGCCAGCCAGACGCCUUGACAUCCGCAUGUUCAGUACCAACUUCAAGGUCCAACCCAAGUUCGACGAGUGGUUCUUAUCCCCCACCCAAGAUCAGCUCGAGGAGCUCAGCUUUGAAGCUGGACGAUGUCGCUCUCUGCCGCCGUACGCGCUCCGCCUGGCGCCAACGCUGCGCCGCGCCAGCUUCAGCUUCUGUUAUCUUCCCCAGAUUAAUGUCGUGCUUCUUCUCCCUCAACUCAAGCAGCUCGACCUCUUCAACAUUGUCAUCUCGAAGAAGGCUAUGGAUCACCUGCUCCGCAGCUGUACUGCGCUCGACUACCUUCGUCUUGAGCAGAUCCACGGGUUCAUUAGCCUCCACAUCGCCUCGACGAAUCUCCGAUGGAUUUAUGUGUCUUGCUGGCCCCGCAACAAGACAUCAAUUUGGAAGAGAUCACUCCGGCUGUUCCACGUUAUGGUCAUUGAGAAUACGCCUUUCCUUGAGAGAUUGCUUGUAUCGGAUCUAGAAGGUCCAACAAAAAUCAGGGUCAUUGACGCGCCGAAAUUGACAGCGUUGGUGCACUCGUCUGCCGAAUUCUCCGAACUCUUUAUUGGAUCCGUAAUCGUUCAGGUACAACACUCAUCUUCUUCUCCGUCUUCUUGAAAUUCACAUUUUUAAAUUUCUUCUUGAUGUAUUUACGACCGUCUUCCAGAAAAUGAUUCCCACAAGCUUGACCCAGUCUAUGCGCACAGUGAAGACCUUGGCAAUAAAAUCUAUCGGCCCCAAUCUGGAUCAAGUUGUUGGAUUCCUUACAUGCUUUCCGUGCACGGAGAAGCUACUCAUCGAGGUGAAACUUCUUUCCUAUUAGUAAACGGUAAUCACAACGUAGCUCAAAUUUUUCGUAAUUUUCCCAAAUUACGAUGACAAGUGUAGUGUUCAAAACUGCAUCUACGCACUGCACCGAAAGAAAUGUUUUUAGUAUUUUUUUCUCACGUGAUCACCUGCAUCGUUUUUUGUUGUACUACUAUAGUAGCCUAGGCUAGUCAUAGUGGAAAGUAACUUAGACUACUCCAGUAACUCUAUGGUCACCCUAAGAGAAAGUACUACCUCCGUCUUGGUUUACUCUUCCUAUUUUGUAGUAUCAAAAUUUGACCAUAGAUUUAACUGACAAAAUGUUAAUGCAUGUCACUAAGAACUAUAUCGUUGGAUUCGUAUUUGAACAUAAUUUCAAAUGGUGUAAUUUUUAGUGACAUGCAUUGGCAUUUUCUUACAUAAAUAUAUGGUCAAAAUUUUAUACUAAAUAAGAGGUAGUACAAAAGUGGGCUAUAACGGCCCUCCACUAUGCAAGCCAAAACACGUGCCAAAUUCACUUGUGAUGCAUUUGGCAUCGAUGCCCCUCCAUUGCUCACCUGGUGCCCCAAUCUGGAUCACCUACUUUGCUCUGGUGCCAAAUUAACCCACGCAAUGAAAAAACACUUGCGUGGGAGAGAGAGAGGACUGAGGCAAUAAAAAAGACUUGUUUGGGAGAGUGAGAGGCUGGUGUAGUUGGUUUGAUUGAUUUGUUUAUACAUUUUGGUCUGUGUGCACAGCGGUGCCAACUCUCGCACAUCGCGAGAGUGGUGCCAAAAUCUUUUGAUUUGACAUCGAUGCGUAUUAUGUGGCAUACUUUUGCGAAAUAUGGCAUAGGCCACAUAGUGGAAGGCAACAAAUGCCCAAGCUCUUCACGUACUCCUAGGUAAAUGAGAGGAAAGAGAGAGAGAGAGAGAGAGAGAGAGUGAAAAAAUAUCACUAGCCAGCCAACCCUAUCGUAUGAGCGAAUGAUAUUGGUACCUCUUGAUGACACGACAAUCUUAUACAGCCAGCUACUCUAAUAUGUUCUCUUCUUUUGCAGUGAAAGAAAGACCCGAAAGUGAAAAAUGUGCUGCACUAUAACAAUCUCAUCGAAUGCCUUGAUCUCCAUCUUACAGAAAUUGAUUUGAUCGACUACCGAGGCAACACAUCUGAGAUUAAAUUGGCCAGGUUCUUUGUUCUGGAGGCAAGUGUGCUCAAGGUAAUGAGGUUUGGCGUUCUCUGGUGCAACAAUGAAUGGCGUGCUGAUCACCGCAAGCGUCUAAGCCUAAAUGACAAAGUCUCCGCAGAAGCUGAAUUUGUUUUCGAAACAUCAAGUGGCCAGAGACUCGAAAACUUAUUUGCCCACUAGUGACUUGUCAGGGCGGUGGAUUUUAGUUUGUACGAUAAUGCUGCAUCCACCUAAAGUAACGAAAGUUCUUACGUAAACUUCCUAGUAAUUCCCUCUUCGUAGGUGCAACAUUACUCCUAACAUUUGUAAUAUCAGUUUGAAACUUGUAAUAUAGCCGUGUCCUAUUCCUGCAUUUUCAAAAUCCUGCGAAUCAAACAGGUCCUGAGUUGGUGAUGAUGUUGUGCUUGCCAUCUUUCACCAAUAGCCGUCGGAUCUAGAUCUGACGGAUACAAACCAAACUUCUCCAGUUUUGCAAAAAGAUGCCCGCACUUGUUCCCUAUUUACAAACAACUCCUUGUCUCUCACAAUCAGCCUUAUCUCCUCGCCACCACAUCUAGAAGGCCAUGAAAAAAUCUGGCGCGAUGGCCGCUGCCGGCGCCAUCCACCCCCCAAUCUUGGUGUUCCGUGCAAUGCACGGGCAUCUACGCACGGGAAAUUAUGUCGAACAUGGCUAGUUGUAAGAAGGCUAGGUCUACAGCCAUGAUGAUAGUGACUGCAGACGGUGAGGCUGACUAUGGUAUGCCGAACACGGCGCCUAUACUCAGGUGUCAUCUCCGGCGUAGGGACUUGUCACUUCACUGUGAGGAGCAGCACGUAAUAAUUUGACCAACGGGUAGUACAAUGCUACUACAUUGGUAGUACUACUACUACUAGUACUAGCACCACCGUCUGGAUUUAGUAGUACUACCACGUCCAUCUGGAUUUAGUAUUUGACUAGCAAUAUCUAGUAAUGCAUGUCACAAAAAUUGUACUACUCCCUCUGUAAAUAAAUACAUGAUGUAUUGUUUUAUUCCUAUCGGCGAGAUAACUUAAUGUCUUUUUGCUACUUAAUAGGAUUACAUGCAAUGAACUAACCACUGCAUGUGAUGUUUGGUAGUCUCAAGUCAUUGAAAGCAUGCACGGGCACGGAGGGGGACGCAGCUUCAUUGACUUACUGCACCUACCUUUGGGUGUAUGACACGUGGGCCCAACGGGUGGCUGGCCAACCUGUCAUACAGCCAAAGGCAGGUGCAGUAGAAGGGCGAGGAGUAGAUGGCCAACACGCACGUGAAUUCAACGCAGUCUGCACUUCUCAUAUAAAGGCUCCCGCCAGUCCAAUCUACGAAAUCCUAUGCACCUACGCACCCAAGGGCAAGAGUGAUCACUCCAGUCGCAAGAUCAGUUGACUAGAAGCUAGACCCAUGGAGGCGAUGAGCGCGAGCAUCAGCCGGCUGUGCCAGAUGGUCCACGACGCCGGCCUGCGGCCCGGCACCGAGGAACGUCUCCAGGUAGUGCUUGAGGCUGCCAGGGCGAGGGGGUGGACGACAACUUCGUCUCCUUGUUCGACGAGGUCCUCGUCGGCUUCUUCGCCAAGUUCACCGUCGUCAAGAAGCUCGCAGACGACCUUGACGUACGCCUCCAGCCCACGCGCCCAGGCUCUGCGAUGCCUGCCACCCUCAACGGCCUCUAUGGUGACAACCUCUUCGACGCACUGGUGGCCCUGCGACUGCCCGCCGUCGCGCCGGAGAAUGUCCACCUCGAGGUCGCGCUCGCCGCGCAGCGCCUGGCGCAGCAAGACACCAUCGACAUAAUCACCCACGUCUACAUGCAAAUCGUCCACAAGGACUACUACAUGCAAGAGGAGGAUGAUAGGACGCUGGCCUUCUUGGACCGCAGGGCAACCUUGGAUGACAUUGUUCAGAAGCACGUUGAGCUUGCCGCCAACGCCGCUGCUCCUCACACGUCGGUUGGUGACCCGGUGCACUAGGGCGUGAGGAUGUCGUUGAUGGACACUACAAAAAAAACACUUCCGUGAUGAUACGUGUUUGUCACAGUAGGUCGCGUUUUCUGUCAUGCAUGUACAUCCAUGACAAAUUUAUGACAGAAUCAAGAUAUUCAUACCUGUGCUGUCGUAGAAGUGUUCCAUGACAUUACCAAAAUUAUCAUCAUGGAAGUGUCCACUUCCAUGACGAUAAAUCGCGCGUCACAGAAGUGCUUUCGUCAAGGGUGACCAACACGUGGCAUCCACCGUAACGGAACGCCGUUAAGCUAUCGGGUCCGGUUUUGGAUCCGAUAACCUGUUAACAGCCCCGACCAUUGGGGAUUUUCCACGUGUAAAAUCAUCAUUGGCUGGAGGAAACACGUGUCGGCUCACCGUUGGGACAGAUGUCAUCCACUCAUUGGACCCAAAGCGCCUAUGAUAUGUCGACACGUGGCACGGCCCAACAGAGGCCCAUUCAUGUGAAAAGGCCGGCCCGUUUGACUUGGUCAAAAGGUGGCGGGCCGGCCCACACAAGCCUGUUAACGGCCUGUUCGCAUAUAGCCCAUUUACAGCCCGCUAUCCCAGGGCCCGUUUACGGCCUAUCCGAAUUAGGCCCAGUAGCGUCAUCUGGGCCGUCCAAUAUAAUUCCAGCCCGUUUUAACUUUCGGCCCAUGUAUGGCCCAUGACGUCUUUCGGCCCAUAUGAGGCCCUUAGUAACCCUCGGCCCCUUAACGUCCCGUGGUAAAACUGGCCCGUAAUGAACAGUGUAUCACUUUAUACCCAUUAACGGCCCAUUGUUCCGUUGGGCCGUUUCCAGCCCAUGAUAUCUUUCGGCCUUCUCAGGGCCCAUUUAUUCUUGGGCUCAUUUCCAGCAUUCGGUUACUUAUGGCCCGUUACUGUCAUUUUCUGCUUGUGGGCCAAAUUCAACCCGUGGUUACAGUCGGCCCGUUUGCGGCCCGUUAAUAUGUUGGGCCGUUUUCAUGUCGAAAAAACCCGUUGGGCUGUUUUCAUAGAGUUAUCAAAUAUGGCCGAUGAACGGCCCGUUAUUGUCCACGAAUAGUACGACCCAUGAUUGGCGAAAUGAUGAUACACCCUGUAGAAGGCCCAUGGAUCGUACGGCCCGUAAAAGGCCCAUGGAUCGUACGGCCCGUAGAAGGCCCAUGGAUCCUACGGCCUGUAUAGAAGGCCAAUGGAUCCUACGCCCCGUAGAAGUCCCAUGGAUCAUACGGCCCGUAGGAGGCCCAUGGUUACAACCGUCCGUGUGUUGCCAUGAUUAUUUUGGCCUAGUUUUCAAAAAUAGGUUAUUGUGGCCACUAGAAAAACACAUAAAAAGAACUGCAGUGACUACAAGCAAACAACUAAACAAGACAAUAAGGAAAUAAAUAAGCAAGCAAUUAACGCUAGCCUAUUACCGCUAUUACACAUAUUACAUCCACCGGGCAUCAAAGUUUGCCACCAGUGCAAAUAUAGGGAACAAAGCAGCAUAUUACAUACACUGGCCGUCAAAAUUGGCCACGAGUGCAAAUAAACGCGGCAGCAAAACAAGAUCAUAACUGAAACAACUUCAUAAGAGCUCAAGAAACAUGGUAUCUACCAUGCUGGCAAUAAGCUUAGCAAGCUUAUUAGCUUUGUCCUGUUUGGCGCUAAAAUCCUCCAACGCUUGCUGUUGCACCAGAAAGUAUGCAUCUGAAUACUCCAGGGACUUCCGCAGUCCUUCUGCUUCUUGUCGCAGCACAACUGAUCGAUGUCUUUCAGCUUGUAGUUGAGACUCAAGAAACCGAACUGAUUCAGACAGUGAGUUUGAAUAGCUUGUGCAAGCGGUAGUGGCCAGUAACUCCAACACUAAACCAAGAAAGGACUUUGGGGUUGUCUCACUGUCUUCGAGAUAGUCUUCCUUAGCUGUUUUAUCAGCUUUGUUGGAGACCAACAAGGAUGUGUCACUAUCCUGAACCUUAUCUACAUUACUUCCUUUACAUUGCUUAAUAAGGCACUCUUCCCCAAUAUUCUGUCAGCAUUCUAAAAGAAGAAACAAGCAGACACAUAACAGUUUAGCAUGUACUAGUAUAUGAAACUCAUUUCGGUGAACCAGUUCAUUAGUAAGGUGGACAGGAUUAAACUACCAAGUCUUCUAUUGCCAAGUACUAGUACAUAAUAAAAGCAUCAAACAAACACACACACACACACACACACACACAUAUAUAUAUAUAUAUAUAUAUAUAUAUAUAUAUAUAUAUAUAUAUAUAUAUAUAUAUAUGUCCUAUGGUCACUGCAUUGUCUUGCAAAAUCAAAAUAGAGACACGGUUCAAAUCAUAUCAGUUCAAGACAAAGGAGUAGUGAAAGAAUACAAAGCCUGGGAAACUACACGGCACAACAAGAUUUCAGAUGGGUACCACGGGUCUACAUGUACAACAACACUAUUGGCUCUGUUGUGAUGCUAGUAAUGUGCAUGAUAUGAGAAGUCAACUGUAUACACAAUUGAAAUUGAAAUCAACAGAGCUAUUGAUAAGAGCAAGCCUGUUAAAGAAACAUGCGUGAACAUACCUGCUGUGCCGUUGCAGUUUCAAUUGGAUCCUUCAAUUUAAAAAUAAGUUUGUAUGUGUAAAUACAGUGAUACAAGAACAAAGCAGUAUGCAUGAUAGCAAUCAUAGUUAAAAAAGGUGCGCCUAAGCGAGCGCCUAAGCGCGCCUAGGCUCUAGGCGUUGGCGAAACGCAUUGCGCAUAACUACGCUUUAUCUGUGCAUAACUGCGCAUAAGCAUGCGCUUUGGUCAGUAAAGCGCAAGACGGUGGCAAAACGCACAAUUAACGCCUAGCGCUUUUUUGAACUAUGAUAGCAAUGGAAUCUUAAAUUAGAACAGUUGUUCUUUAGGUUUAGGCACAAUUAGAACAGAGUACAGUAAGGCGCAAGAAUAUAGUACUUAAAAAUAGAAAAUGAGCUCAUAGACCUUACCAUAUUCUUGGUUCGGGACCAGUACAGAACAAGGCAUUCCCAGUCAUCGUCCAGUAAAUGUGUCUCAGGAGAACGUAAGGUAAUUUGAUGAGUUUCUUUGCCGGUGAAGUACGUUUUCUUUAGGUAAUUCCGAUACUGCCACCAAGCAUUCUUGAAGAUAGCAGAGGUAUUAGCACAGGUUACCUCAUCCUGAGUUUCCAAAUCGGUCCUUCUCUAUAGAGAAAAAUGGGAAAAUUUGUUGUAUUAUAACCAUCAUGGAGGUAGGUGUAUGGUACAAAGCAAAGUAAUUGCCAUGAAUAACAUUACUUACACAUAAAUCCUAGACAAACACCUGCAAAUGGCAUUUUCCUUCAUCUUCAGUAUAAUAUUUCCAAGAUGGGAAGAUACGCACAUACGAUUUAACAACAUCAAAUGCGAUAGAUGCUAAACGACGACUAGCUGGUUGUGCUUCCUCCACAGGAAUAGGCGUACUAACUGGUGGAGUUGGGGUUCGCCGUGGUAGUACUGGCCCUUUGGGCACUGGAGAUGCCUUACUAACUUCUCUUGUUUGGGAGCUCUGUGGUGGAGAUGGUGCUGUGUCAACAGGAACUGGGUUACUAUCUGCUGGGGUUGGGGUUAGAUUGGGUGAAGCUGGUUCUAUGUCCAUCGCAGUAGGGGUACAAUCUGCGAGAGUUUGGGUUAUGUGUGGUAGGGCUGGUUCUCGUGCAUGUACAACCGGGGUGCUAUCUCCACCAAGAGGUAGCACUAUUUUAUUUGAAGACCGUGUUUUUAGUCCGCUAGAUGCUGGCAUCACCCGCUCCAAUUCAAAUGGCUGAUAACUAGGAAACAUAGUGUGAAAAAAAGAGGGCAUGAAAUAGUUGACAUGUAUAUUGUUUAACUAAAACGAAUAGCAUGCCAUAAUUUCACAUAUAUGAUGUCUAUCUAAACUGGAUAACAUAGCAUAACAUAAUUCAAAGAUAUGAUGAAUAACUAAACAGGAUCGCAUGACAUAAUUCACCUACAUGUUAUCUAAGUAAUCAGGAUCGCAUCAUUUAAUUCACAUAUGUGAUUUAUAUGCUAAACAGAGGGCAUUAGAUAUGAUGUCUGAACUAAGAACAUGGUGUUGAAUAUUGUGUAUAUGAUGUCUAAUCUAUGCAAUGCAAGACACCAUAUGCAUGAUAUGAGCAGUAUAACCGUGCCAAGUUAGAGCAUACACCUCGGUGGGGGAAUAGGACUGGUCAUCUGUCUCUGAAUCCAUCUCUGAGGAGCCAUCGGGACCCAACAAGAGAUCUGCUUCGACAGGUAGCACUGUCUGCUCUGAAGGCCUUGUUUUCACUCCAGAUUUUUCAAUCUCCCACCCAAAUGGCUGAUUCACAGGAAGAGUAGUUUAAUGUACAAACAUUGUCGACAAAUGGAAAUGUAAUGAAGAAAAGGAUGGGCAAGAUAUCAUUCAAAUAUAUGAUGCCUGGUUAAAUAGGAUGGCAUUGCACAUUUCACGUAUAUUAUGGCUGGCUAAAAGACAGGAGACUGCACAAUUCCCAUAUAUGAUAUAGAAACUAAACAGGUGGCAUUACAGAACAUGUCUAAACUAAGUAGAUGACAUAUAUGAUUUCAAAAGUAGGCACUGCAAGGCAACAUAUGCAUGAUAUGACUAACAUCAUCAUGCCAAGGUAGAGCAAACACCUUGGGGGGUAAAUAGGAGUGGUCAGCGGCGUCUGAAUCCGCCUCAGAACAGAUAUCUUCCUCUGGAUUACAAUCUGGAGAGGGGUGGGGAGGGUUUGCCAUUGAACCCACCAUGGAGUGAUGUUUGCAUGACAUUGUAUUGCCGCGCAAAACUCUUCUCUUUUUCUCUAGAUGUUCAGCAUGACUGUGUACAAUAUCUGACAUGCAUACGAAAAAAUAUGGUGAGAUUAUGUAAGGAGAGCAUGCAGAAAUUUAGAGUGAUGGUAACAACCAGUGGAUGGAUCCAAAAAUAAUGAUAGCAGGCUGAUGAUUGCUUUAAUUUAAUAAAAAGACAGAUGAUGAUUGCUUUGCUAUUUGUUUCCCACCCAAGAUGAACAACAUAGGCAUACCCUAGGUGAACCAGAUAUUAGACAGAGAUACUAUUCAUUGCUUCCUCGAUAUGUGUCGUAAGACGUCAAGGCUGAAGCAGCCCGGGUGAGCCGUAAGACGUCAAGGCUGAAGCAGCACAAGACAGACAUCGUCAAUCUCAAGUGGGAUUCUAAUAGCAUCUCCAAUAGAUGAUGUAAAAUAGAUGUAAAAUUUACAUCACCAAAA
rnacentral:lncRNA from 1 species